GUUUGGUUUUGUCAGUUACCUUAAUAAUAUGAGUAUUUUAUAUUUCUCACAAAAAAUACAAUCUAAACACAUAAAUUCAUGUAUUGUAGAGAAUAUGUAAUUGGAAGUUGAAAAACUUAAAUCAUUAAAUAUGUUUCAAUAUGGAUUAACUGUUUUAAAUCCAAAUUGGUAACUUGACAAGAAUGAAUAAAAUAUACAUAGUGACAUGUGGUGGAGCAAAUUGUGGUGGCAUGAGAGACACCUUUUGCAAUGCCAAAUAUUAAUGUUAAAUAUUAAUGUAGUAAUAUUUUAGAAUAAAAAUUGAAUAAUCAAAGAUGAAAUUACAUGUAUGGGUGUGAGACAAAAAUGCAUUAUACCAUGACACACAUGCUUUAAUGAACACAUAAUCUUUGAAUUUUAUAACAUUAUCUUGUUGUUGCUUACAUUAAUUUUUAUUGGUAAUGACAAACAAAUCAUUUUCUCAUGCUUAUUGAAUUACUUUCAUGCACAAAAAUUUACUUUAAAGAACUCAAAGGUGAUAUUUCUGAUUGAAAAUGUAUUAGAUUCAAAGUAAUAGAGAUUUGUUGAUAAUGUGUUGUAUCUCCAACUUUUGGCAAUACAUUUUGUAACUUUAAAAGAACAGCCAAUCUUAGCUUUUACAACUCUCCUAUGCGAUAGGCAAUAAUAAUGCAGACUAAUACACAUAACACAUUUUUAUCUAGAUUAUCAACAAUUCAAAAUGCUAGUUUUGUAAUAACAUUUAUUUAAUUUUUUUCAAUUUAUAUAUAUAUAUAUAUCAUAAUCAUGUGUUCAAUCUUACAAAAACAAAUGAACAACGUUCUUCAAAUGCAUUAUCAUUUGUCAAUAAUUUGGAAUAUUAAGAAAUUUAGAAUAACAGGUAAAGUAUUACUACACAGAACUAUACAACAUAUAACAAUCGUGAAACCAACCACCUUUACAACAUUCAUAUAACAUCAAGUCAAAAACAAAACCUAAUUCAAUCUCCGUUCAAAUAAAAACAGUUCUGAGAAACUCUUAUGCACACAUAUCAAGAAACAAUAGCACACAUUCGAAAACCCACUUCACAUCCUCCAUUUACUCUUUAAUUUCACACAAGUUUUCUUGAAUUCAAAACCCCAAAAACAAAUUCUAAUUUUAAAAACAACAAAAUCCAAAACAUACUAGUCUAAAUUUAAGUUGAAAAAUAAAAGUAAAAUUUUAUAUACCAAAAUAUACUAACAUACAUACAUACACUCACACACACACACACACUUGAGAGGACACCAUAACAAAGACCCACCCACCCAGUUCCACUUUCACAGCAAUGCUGUGAAGCCAAAGCGAUAGAAGCUUGUGGUUCUGAUAGCGAAGCUCUUGUGAUUGCACUACCUGCCAAACCUACACCGACCUCCCUGGACCACGAAGACAGUCGAAAAUCACACUAAGGUCGAAAAACUCGCUACGGGUCACGCUUCGGAGGAGCACCGCACCGCACCGACGCGGCGACGACGCAUCACCAGCCCACGAGCGACGGACGAGCGCACCCGAAAAAUAACGAGAGCGAGAGGAGGCUCAAUCACCCUCAAUCCCUCACUCCUUCCUUUUCCGUGAAGAUGCUGCAAUCGCCUUUGAAAAAGCGACGACUCUCGCGGAUUUGAUUUACCCCCAAGUUUCCAAUGAAACGCCUACACUUGGAAUGCAACCGACGAUGGCUUUGACUCCACCCGACCAAGGAAAGCGGAAAAUCUUCCCUCCUUUCCCCGCACAUUGAUUGAUUGCAUCAUGCAUAGUCCUGCACCCUCGCCCAUGACCUGACAUGGUUGCGGACGAUUUUACCCAAACCUUUUUAUGGCUUGCGAGGGGGCGUUUCGUAGGGUUGUGUGUGUCACACGAGGCAGUUUGCGGUCGUGUCUGGCUGGGUGGAUCGAAUGGAAUGGCGUUGCGUGCAUUGCGUUGCCGACUUCUAUAUUGGGAUUGUUGCGUGUGUCAUUAGGGGUGUGGUAGCGCAGUGAGGAAUUUCGAGGGGGAGGGGGUGGAGUGAAGGGGGUUUAGCGUUGGGUUUGUGAGAUAGUCGUGGUGAAUUGUGGAGGUGUGUGGGUGGAGAUGAGGGUUUUAGGGUUUUCGUCUCGGGGUUGGGUUUGACGAGGCUGCGGGGUUUGGAGGCUUCUGUGUUGUGGGAUUUUUGGAGAAGCAUUUGUGUAGGAGGAGCGCUAGGAGUGUGGGGCGGCGGGGUUUUUGAGAGGCGCGACAGGGCUGACAAGAUCACUUACGAAGUGGAUGCCAAGGAGGUUUCUGCGUGUAGUACCACUGCUUAAAACGGGUGGUGCUAUUGUGGAUCGCAGUCACAGCAUGUCUUGAGAGACGUUCAAAAACAUUAUGUGACGAAUUACAACAUAAAGAACAACUUCCUGGAGAAGGUUACUUUGAACUCCGUCGACCGAUCGACAGGGGGCAUUGGCCUAAGUCUUUUCCAGAUCAAAGGGAAUGACAUUUGUGUUGUGUGUUCCAUGUCGCGGAAAUUGUUGAUGAUACCGUUAAGGUGAUUUGGGGUGCAGGCGAAGUGCCUUGAUUUUUGAGAAUUCUGAGGAAUAGAUCAAGAAGCAUCCAGCUUUUCAAGAUGAUGGGAUCUUUCAUUACCAGGGGAGUUAUGUAAGUACUCAUUUUCCUCUUUCCUUUUGUAACUGCAAUGAAAUUGCCGUCAAGCAUGUGCAGGUUUUGGCUUUUCAGUCGUUCGACCAUGCAUUAUGCGUAUUAAUGUUCCAGAAAAUUGUGUGAAGGAUAGCUCAGUUGUAUACUAUAACUUUGCGCGUGAGUAACAGCAUUUUGUUGUCAUCAGGUCGUUUUUACACGUAGGUGUUAGUUAAAUAAUUUUGAGUGCCAGCGCGUUAUUUUUAUUGCUUUGUAUAACAUCUUUUCCUUGUGAUGUGGCAGAAUGUUACUUGGCUACGUGUAUCCGGCGUAUGAAUGCUUCAAAGUUGUAGAGAGGAAUAGACCCGAUUUGGAGCACCUGAGAUUUUGGUGUCAGUACUGGUAUGGUUUCCCUCAUUGCUAAACGUCAAUACUUGUGUUAGAUGCUUGUCUAAAGAUCGUUGCUGUUCGACUGUAGAUAGAGGUGGUGAUUCUUGGGAGUUCUUCCUUUCCCUACGUCCAGCAAAUAAAUUAUCUGGUGAUUGCUUUGGUAACUGAACCUUCCUUUCAGACUCUGAGGUCUCAGAAGACAUGUAUCACCACGCUCGCCGGGGAAACCUUUGCUUCUUGAACACGUUUGGAUUUCCCUGUGAAGAGUAUAUGGACUGUAGUAGGCCUGAAGUUCAUACUACUCUUCACACUGAAAAGUGCUUGGUCGUUUAUUCUUGUGCUGUCUCUGCGGGGCCUUUCUGGUGUGUGGGGCUUGUUUAAUAAACUGGACUAUAGCAAUGUUUGGCUAUUACCCAUAGUUGCUUUAAUUUGCAGGAUUAUUAGCGUCUAGUGAACGUUUUGAAUCUAAGAUUAAACCCACCCCGUAUGUGAUAGUUUCGCAUCAUGCAGCUAUACUUUCAAAUUAAUAGUACUUAAAUCCUAAGAAAGACGUACUUGCUAAACUCGGGAAGUGAAAGAGUCUAAGUUCCCAGUGGCUAUGCACUGAAAGCAACGGCAAUCGCAACAACUGAUAUCCUCUGAAUUCUUAACAGUUGGCUGCCCAUGAGACGCAAAUUAGGUGCGGUUCGUGGGCCAGAAAUUCUAAAUGAUCUAAUUUAACUUACAAUUGCUGCUCAGUAGAAAUCAAAUCACUCUAUUAAGAUGAGAUGCAUAUCUAACUUCCAAGUCAAGUUACGCAUUUCGUGAAACUGUGUGGUUUGAGAUCGUGUUCCUGUAGGUGUAUAGCUCUAACAAUCUUGGCAACUUCGGCAUAUGUCUAUGUUGUCCUUGAUCCCGUGGAUCUGAAUUGAGGUUGUUGGUAUUGGAUGGGAUCGAUAUUGUCAUAAAUACAUGUUCAUCCGAUGGUCCUUUUUCUUCCAGGGGACUGCAGUUGACCAGAAUUAUAUUCGUGCUUCGCAGGAUUAUAAUUGCAUCUCUUACAGUGUUCGAACGUGUGGGAGAUAUUUUUGUUUCUUGGUACGAUUAUUCACUUCAAAGUUGCCGUUCGAUGGAAUUGGUACAUACUCAUGAAAUGCAAUUGCAAUAAGAGUCUCGAAGAAGUGAAUAGUUACAAUCUAUUCCGCACAUGUCAGUCUAGUGAUUCACUUCGUUAAGCGCUUGAAUUCAUUCUUAAUAAUAUUUGUAUCUUCAAAUUCAUGGAUUUUGCUGUUUCAGGGUGCCAAUGUAUAAUGAAGCAAAACUGGCUUUCAUCAUUUAUCUUUGGUAUCCAAAGACACUGGUACUGUACAGCAGCUUUUCCUUUCUUUUUAUGAGUUGUGGCGACGCCUUGAGUAACAUUGGCGUAUCAGAUAAGACAUUAAAAAUUGAUACUUUAUCACUGAGCAGUUUGACGGCUCACAAUCCUAGUAAUUUUGAUGUUUAGUUGUGAGCCUCUCAUUUAUACGGUUUUGUUCCGAGUAUUUCUUCGUUGAUAUUAGUUCUGAGUUCAUCUUCCUCUGAAAGUUUGAUGAUUGUUUCUUGUUUGGCAUUAUCGCAAACUAUCCGCACAACUCAUUUUGGGCAUGGCUUUUGCAGGGGACAACGUAUGUCUACUCAUCCUUCUUAAGACCCUUUGUGGUUAAGCACGAGUCGGAGAUUGAUCACCAGCUGAAUGAGUUGACUACCAGAGCUGGAGAUCUAGCCUUCUUCUGGUGGCAACGAGGUUCAGCUUACAUUCAAGCUCAGGUUUAUCAGAUUUUAGCUUACGUUGCCUCGCAGUCAAAUAGAACUCAGCAGGGUACAGUUGUCCGUCAGGUUCCUCCAGCUGCCCGUCAAGCCUCUAUUUUUCGUCCGAACGCCCAAAUUCCUCGUGGACCCCCACGUGAUCCUCCACAGGUACUUUUUUUGGUUCUGGUUCUAUCUUAAUGCUCUCAGUUAUUUUUUUAUUUCUUUUAGAUCAUAUUUUUAAUGUUUUCUGUAUUCCCAUCAUGGUUUUCUGUGAUGUCCAAACCUCGGAACGCAUUUUGCUCUAUGUCUAUGUAGGGUGACACUCAAGUUCAUCCACCUCCAGUAGGAAGAUUUCCUGGACAUACCCCAGGAGGUGCUGGUUAUCCUGCGUUGAAUGUUGAAGAACUUCAUCCUCCUGCCGCACUUCAGGCUGGCACUACUCUGUAUCCUCCUGUGGCUGGUGAAGCUGGUCCAGACCUUUACCCUCCUCCUCCUGGACCCAAUUUCACGGGCUCUGCCCACCGGCGGCGUGGACGUGGAGCAGGAACAGAGUCAGCUGCCCUUCUCUCAGAAAACUCAGAUUCAGAUUAUGAUGUUGUUGAACACAGUGCAGAGAACUGCCCGGAAAGUCGUCCAGAAAGUCAGUUGGAGAAAAAGUCCCAGCAAUCACAUCCUUCGAUUGGAGAGGAAGGUGUGCCCUUAAAAGUAUAUAACACGAGAAAUCGUCUGCGAUCUGGAGGUUCUCGGUGAGAAGUUGGUGAUGUGUCUGCUCAUCAGUGAAGAUUAAAAUCCCCACCAUGCUAGACGUAAUCGUUUACCUAGACAAUUUCUUCGGUUUAACUUUGGAACAGUGAAGGUUACAGGUUAUCUGAAUGUUCGUCUUCGUUAAGAACAAGACGAAAGAAUGUGGAUUGAGGAAAACUACCGGUUAUUGUAAUUACUGAAAAUGACCUCUAUCAACCUGUCACAUGUAUAAUUUGACGACUCAUCAAAAUUGGACAAUCGCAAGUGCAAGUUUUAAACAUGCAUCUCCCUCUGACAGUAAACUGCUGAGUGGAAUACUCACAAUUUUGUGUUCUGUACAUAACACUUUCUGGUCUUAAUUUCGAGGUUAUGAUUUGAAGUAUAUGUGUAUGUUGUUUGAUAGGAGUUUAUCCGAAUGGUUACCUUGGCUUGGUUCUACACCUUCCGGGAAGGAUGAUUGAGGUUCAUCUUGUCACCUCUGGAGCAAUUUCCAUUGUAUAUCCUUCAUCCUUUCUGACGUCCCCACUUUCAACAACUUCGAAUUGUCUUUUAUACGUCCCUACUUCACAGUAAGUGUAAAAUGCUUCACUGUCCCUGAAGGCGUCAGCUAUCUUCUUCUUUCAGGACCUCAGCGCAGGUAAGUGGAUUUCUUUACUUUUACUAACAUGUUGAAUGCAUUGAUGAUGCAGCAAUACAUAUUUUUCAGUUUCCUGUCCACGACAAGCAGUACUCUGUCGGCAUACAUGUAUCCUAGCAUCUGUACAGAAGCCGAGCUUUUUCAUAUUUUAACAAAACAAUUGUUUGUUUUACUGACAUUUAACAAUACGCCCAAUUCACUGAUUGUAUGUAGGGAUCAUUAAAAACGAGUUUUUACGGGUGGACUGUUGGGGUCACACUGCUCAGGUCCAGACAUCUUUGACACCGAAGGGCGUCAAAGCUAGAGUAGUUCUGGUGGCUUUUCUACUUGCUUUUCUUAUGGCCCGUUGUAUUUUAUACGUUUUAGAUGACUUCAAGUGUGUCUUAAAAUGCAGUAUAUUAGUUUCGCACAUACUGUCUCAGAAUAUUUUGGUACAUCUAAGGAUUCAGCUGUUUUUAAUACUACAAACUUUAUAUGCAUACAACUAAAAGUUGCCUGAUUAAGUACGAUUCUCUUUUCCACCAACACUGUGCAGAUCUUUAACAAUGCAUGGAUCCUAAGGUUUGGGUGUGAGUUAUAGUUCCUAAUGUAUUCAUUGAAUUUGAUAUAUUGUUUUUUGCACAAGAUAAAUUGAAUGUGUGAUGUGUCUAUAUAUAUAUAUAUACAUUGUGUAUAUGUACAUAAUGGUCAAUCCUUAUUGCCUAUAAGACAUUGAUUUGUGUUUCCACAUCUUGGAAUUUGUAGUCUUUCUCAACAAUCACAACUUUAUUACUUUAAAGAUUAUAAUACUCUCAUUUAUCUGCAUUAAAUCGUUCUCAUUGUAUGAAAAGGCUUGUAAAAAAAUUCUAUUCCUUUUAGGUUCAUCUAAUCUGUUACAUUGAAUUAAUUGGUCAUUUGAAUCUAAUCAGUGUUUGUAUUUUAAUGAUUUUUGCAAUGAUUCUAGAAACAAUUUUUAAAAGCUUUAUUACUAUUUUUAAAAAAAAUACUGAAGAUAAUACAGGCACAUGGUUUGGGUUUAUAUAUAUAUAUAUAUAUAUAUAUAUACACACACACACACACACGUAUUAAGUAAUAUAAAUAUUUGUGAUAUUUACUAUUAUUAAACCCAAAAGGUUUAAAAGAUAAAAUAAAAUAAAAAAAAUACAUAACUUCUGAAUUAUACUUUUAUAAACGAAAAAUUCCAGGCCAAUUCUCUUAAUUUUUUUUUAAAUUUUAGGACUACUCCUUUUUUAUUAGUAUUUUCUAAGAUAGUUCUAAAUCUAUUUUCAAAAGGGAAAAAGAAAAAUUUAAAGAUCUAAAAAAACAUGUAGGGCUAUUGCAUCUUUACCAUUCCAUUAUAAACGAACAAUUUUAGACACACACAAAAUUAAAUUUAAAGAAAGGAAUUUUAAAAUAAAACAUAUUUUUUUGGCCUUUUCAUAAAAUCAAUUAUCAUUCAACAAAAAAAUAUUAUUUUUUUGACAUAAAGAUAUGUAACAUUUCAACCAACAAAAUAUUACUCUAGUAGUCAAAUUUGUAUUUUUUGCCAUCAAUUGUAUAUAUCUGUAAUUAUAAAAUAAUAAUAUAUAGCUACUAAAAGAAUAUCAAAUAAAGCUUUUACAAUCUUAAAGACUACAAAACCAAAUAUCAAAUAAAAAAGGAAAAAAUCAAAAUAAUUAAAAAUAUUUGCAAUGAGUAUAUUUGAUCAUUGUAAAUUUUACUUUUUAAAACUUAUAAUAAAACAGAAUAAAAUGCUUCCAAAUAUUUAGGUGACACACACACACACACACAUAUAUAUAUAUAUAUAUAUAUAUAAGAAAAUAAAAAAUAAAAAUUUGAAAAAUAAAAUAUAGUUUGUUAUUAAAUUUUAUAUAUUAUAAAGUAAGCGCCAAUGACUUAGAUACUUUGACAAAAUUGAAUUUUAGUAAUUAAAUACAAAUCACUUAAUUAUAUAUUUAUGUUUUGAAUAAACAUAAAUGAUUUCUUCGUUCACUGUAGAAUAUUUAGAUGCAUAUGAAACAUAUAAUUAAUUAAUUCUUGAGUUCAUUUUAAGAUUAGAAGAACCUAUAAAUUAAAAGCAAAAUAGGAGCAUAUAUUGGAAACAAUUUAAGAUCCUCAUAUAAAUUAAAAGAAUCAUAAAAAAUAAAGUCAAAUAUAAAAACCGUAAAGCAAGUAUCAUUGAAUUAAAAUUGCAUUGAUUUUGUAUAACCUUUUUAGUGUUAAUUAUUUUCUCACCUAAACUUCUGAAAGUUUAUACAAAUAUUAUCAAUUGUAAAAGAGAUGUUUGGAAAUAUAUUUACUAAAGAUCUUCUAAUUAAUAUUUAAGUGCAUUUAAAAUUUUAGUUUUUAUCUCUAAAAUCACUAAUUGAAUUUUAUAAUAAAUAAACCACAAAUAAGUGGUUUGAUUAUCAAUAUUGUAUGUUAAAAAUUAUUUGAAAUUUUAAAAAUGUGAUCUUUAUUAAAGUUCAUUUUCAAUUACUUAUUUAUGUAUUUUAAGAUUAAUGAAAAUAUUAUUGAAUUUAUUGAAAUAUUUAAACUUAGAAUUGAGUAUUCAAUAAAUUAAUAUUAAGAUAUAUAAUAUUAAUAUAAAUAUUUAUAUAAAUACUAAUAUAUAUAUAUAUAUAUAUAUAUAUAUUAAUAUAAAUUUAUUGAAUACUCAAUUCUAAGUUUAAAAAAUUCCACAUGUUUUUUACAAUAGUCAUAUUAAUUAUUUUCAUUAUAAAUUUACAAAUUUUAAAAAACGUUGUCUUCUCUUUGGUUUGGUUUUUGAUAUGGCAUGCAAACUGAAUCAAUAAAAGAAUCAGAAUAAGAGUACACACUAAAGAUGUAAAUAAUAUGUAAUAAGGAUUUUAUACAUGAUGGAUUUGACUAUAUGACCUAAAUCUUUAAACAUGGGUUUAAUGAAACUACUGAAAUAUAAUAAUAAAACUAGUAAAAUUAAGAUUUUUUUUUUUUUGAAGUUAAACUCGUGAUCUUUGUUAUAAAAAUCAUAAAUAUUUUUUAAAAAAAAUAAAAAUAGUUUUAUAUUUAUAUUUUAUUCAUCAAAUUUAAAAUUUAAAAUUAUAUAUGCUUUUAUAACAAUAUCAACAUAUGUUAUAUUGAAGUUAAAUCUAACAUAAAAGUCUGAUUAAAAUUUAUCUUAAUAAGUUAUAAAGUUGAUAGGUUAAGAAUAGUUUUAUUUAAAAUAUAUAUAUAUAUAUAUAUAUAUAUAUUCACACACAUAGAGAGAGAGACACACACAGACACACACACACACAUAUAAAUAUAUAUAUAUAUAUAUAGGAUUAAUCAGAUAUUAUCUUAGACAUGGAGGUUUUGUACCGUUACAAUACAACUGUUUAAUUAUUGCUGCUGAUACUAUUUUAGUAAUUAAUAAAGACAUGUAACAUGUUUGGUAGCCUUUUUAUUUAGACAACUUUUCUAAAGGAAGUGUAAAAAGAUACGAAAUUACCGAAGGAUUAAAAAUAAAAAUAAAAAUAAAAAAAAUAAAAAAAACUAACUGAUGUGGUGAAUUUAGCAGGGGCAUCUAAACCUUGUAGCACAUUGGUAGAGAGAAAUAAUUAGAAAUAAAAGGACGGAAAACAUAUAUUUUUCAAAUUUAAUAUCAUUCAGUCAUUAGUAAUUGGUAGAAAGUUUUAUUAAUUUACAUUUUUAUUUAACUGAGGUUUGUAUGAAAAGCCUAAAAGUCACGAUGUAAAAUAAUUAAAAGAUGUUUGAAAAGUAAUGGACCUUAAAGAGUAAGGUGCCUGUUACUGCAUUUAUUUUACUCCAUUUUUCCUUUUUGAAUUUUGAAUUUUCUUAAUGAAUACUCAAUUUUGUGGCAUACAAGAAGUGAUAAUUUGUUUUUCAAAUUAUUGUGAAUUGACCGUUAACUAGUGAAUAGAUAAAUAAGGUUGUAAAUAAAUGAAUUUGAUAAUGAUUGAAAGUAAUUAAGAAGUUAAAUAAAAGAAUUGUGAUUUAGAAAAUUGGAUAUAUUAAAAUUGUAAAGAAAAUUCAAUUUCAAGUUACAUUAGAGUUUGUUAAAAAUCUUGUAAUAGAUUUCCCGGUUCUAUGAAAAGAAAAAAAAAUGCAUUUGGAUCCAAAAAAAAAAAAACAAAAGUUACUGCAAAAUAAUUAACAAGUUAAGUACAAACAACAUUGCAAUGAUUUUUAACUUGUUGUAAUAUGUGUUGCAUAAUAUUGAUGUGCAUUUUUGAUGAUGUAUUUGUGUUUUUCUAUGAUGACAAUCCUCAAAGAUAAAUAAAUAAGUGAGUUAAUAAAUAAGUAAUAAAGUACCCAUCUAACUCCAAUGUCACCGCUAUUAAUUGAUGUGGAGAAGUAGUAGUAGAAGAGUUGUGGGAUGAGACUCUUGGUCUUCCUUUACCAUUUCCACUACUACCACCACAACUAUUAUUAACAAUUCUACUACCACUUAUUUUGCUAUAAUACCAUUACUAAAUACCAUUAACUUUGUAUUUAUCCUAAAAAUUAUUAUCUUUCCUUACAAACAUGAAUGAGUUCCUCCACUAACAAAAAGACAUUACUACGAUUAAUCAUUUUUUUUUUCCCUUGUUUCAUUUAGAAAUUAAUAUUAUAGAGUUGAAGUUAAGAAGUGACCUCCAAUGAAGUGCCAAGAAUGCAAAAUUCAAUUUGAGAAGAGAUUUUGUGCAUCAAAGAAAUAAGCUUAUUUACAAGUUGAAGGGAUUAUUUCUUUAAAAAGUAGAAACUUGAGUAGAAAAUAGUUUUAAAAAAAAAGAAAAGAAAAGAAAAACAUGAAAAAUAUAUAUAUAUAUAUAUAUAUAUAUAGCAAUGAGGUGAAACUAGUUUCAUGCAGCUAUGGAUGUUUGUAUUAGAUUUUCUUCUUCACUCACAAGAGGUAUAGAUUGCAUUAAAUAUGUAAGUGAAGCAAUAGUACACACCAACACAAGUAACUCUUAGAAAAAAUUGGAUUUGUAUGUAUUUUGUAUGAAUAUAUAAUUAUAAAAAGCUACUAAUCAAGACUUAAUACACAUGAUUUAAUUUUUCAAGAUAAAUAAACCUUGCAUACUUACGGUUUUAAAUUCUAUAGUACAAGCAUGACAUGUAUUAAGAACACAGCUAAUUUGAAAAUAAUACUGAUAGUUAAAACACUUUGUGGAGAUGUCCUUUGUGGGGUACUUGAAGGACAUAUUCAAAAUAGUUAUUAUUCAAGCAUGCCAUGUUUCGUUUGCCUCUUGAUAUUUUUAAAUUGAAAAUGAAACUCUUUGUUGGAGACAAUUAAUAGAUAUAAAUUUUCAUAAUAAAUUAGUAGAUAAAAUCAUCAAGUAAAUAUUUGCUAUCAUGUCACAUAUAUGCAUGCCACAUGAUAGUAAUUUUUAAUAGAAAAAAGAAAAAGUAAAAGAAAAGAAGAUUAUGAAGAAGAAGAAUGCAUUAGAUUGUACUAUUUAACUGUAUUUAUGUAAACACCAAAUAUACGUAGUCAAUAUAUCUUUCAUUUUGGUUUAUUCAUAAAGUUGAUUAAAAUUUUCAAAUUUUUGAAGUUGAUUAAAAUUUUAGUUUUUAAUAUAUGUCGAAUUCUAAUUUUUUUUCAGAAAAUAGUCAAUCAAUAAUUUUGAAAAGAUUAAAUAAAGGAAUAAAAGGUCUUUUAAAAUUCUAGAUUAUUUAUAUCAAUGAAAUAUUUUUUAAUAACAUGAAAUAUUUUAAAAAUAAAUAGGAUUUAAUAUCUAUUGCAUCACUUCUUAUCUAGCCAAUUUUUAUUAUUAUUAUAUGUAUACGUAUAUAAUUAUAAAGUUUUUCUUUAGUACUUUUUAUAUAGAAUUAUUUAAAAUUUAUGAUUGUAUAUUUAUAUGCAUGUAUAUGAUUUCCUUAUUAGCAUCAUACAUAAGCCUUUUGAUAAUUUUAUCCACAUAGCAGCUAAUUUACUUUUUAGAAUAUUGCCCUGCACUCAUUAUAUUCAAAACAAAAUGCUAGUAGGUCCUACUUCAUCAAUAAAAUUGUUAACAAUUGUAAAUAUUUGUAACAUUUCCUUAAAUCUACAAUAUGUAAUCUUUAUGAUAAAUCAUACCAUAAGAAAAAUACCUUUAAAAUAUUAAGAUAAGAUUAUAUACUAACAUUUUCAUCUUCAACUACAAUCUUGCAUAAAAGACUAAAAUGUUCAUUGGUGUAUAAAUUCCUUUAAUAAAUAAUUGUUUUAUGUAAUUAAUCAAAGACUAAAGUAAAAGAAUUUGACAUAUAAAAUCACUAAAAAUUUACAAGUCAAAUACUUUUAUAUGUAAAGAAAAAAACUUGGUGUUUGUAGAAUUAUGCAUGUUUGCACUUUUAUAGACCACAUUAUGAGACAAUUGCUAAUUGCUACAUUGAUUUUGUUAACAAUGUAAUAUAUAUAUAUAUAUAUAUAUAUAUAUACACACAUAAUUCAAAAAGCACAUCAGGUAUGCAUAACUAAACGACUUUAAGUAAAAUUAGUUUAAACCCCCUCUUUGGAAAUACAAAGUUAUGUCAACACCAAACCUAAAUUUGAAGUGUUGUGUGUAACCUGACACCAUGUAACUUAAAAAUCCAAUACAAAAUUUACAGGGAGGAGUUAGAAUGAAGAGGGGGAUAAUUAUGCUUUGAGUUAAUUCAAACAAAGCUGCCAUAAUAACAAAAGAGAAACUAAGUGGGAUAGAUGCAAAGUCUUCCUCUAUAACCCCUACAUUUUCAUUUCAGGUUUUACUGUGUUUCAUUAAAAAGGGGAACCCAUUUGUAAGACUCAAUUAUUUGUUUGUGUGUUUCCUUGUCUUUUUUAAAACACCUUUGUAUUCAUGUAGUCACCUCCCUUUUGUUUUGUCUUUGCAGAUUCUAAUCAAUAUAACCAAAGUAAUAAACGAAAGUACCCUUCAUAUCCUUUUAUGUUGUUGUAAAGAGAGGGGAAGUAGAGUAGAGUAUAGUGACCCAAUUGUCAUUUGAUGUAAUAGUUUACACUGCUGACGUCGACAAUGGACUUCACACCACCAGGAUGGAUGGACGGAUGGAUGGAUGUACGGAUGGAUGGAACAUACGUAAACAUCCUUGUCUGUCAUCCAAUCUGAGCCCCAAGAAUGAAAGUUUUUUUACUUUUUACUUUAUACUUUGUUUACUUUUCUUUUGGUAUGGGUGUUUGUCUGGAAGAAUGGUGGGGCUAGUUAGUUUGGCCAGUUAGCCAGCCAUGCACAAUAGUGUGGUUGUUGGAGGACAGCUCAGAGUUUACAAAUGGGACUUUCAAACUAGCAUUCCCUAUGGGAUUGAUUAGAACAAGAGCCCCCCCCCCCCCCAAUUGGCAAGAUGCAGUGUUGUUGUUGUUGUUGUUGUUUUGUGUUUUGUUUUGUUUUGUUUUGUUUUUGUUGUUGACCAGAUGUGGCAUGAAGUGAACAGAGAUUGUACUCUCUUGUUGAGUGAGAGAGUAAGUCCACUGAUAUUUUAUAUAUGUAUUUAAUGAAGUGUUCUCUCUGAUGGUGGGGGAUCAGAGUUCCUUUUUUACAUUAUUUAAAAAAAAGUUUAGUGGUUACUAGUCCAGUAAUGGAUCCAGUGGAAACCGUCCAAGUGGCAAGGAAGGGGAAACACCAAUUAGAGGUGUCCACGUGGCAAAUAGGAGAAAGGGGCUCAUGGCAGGGCUGUGAGUACAAGUGCAUGGGAAUUGGAGCUGCAGGUCCUUAUAUAGAAAAAGAAAUCAGCUGUAUGAGAAUAUGGGAACAUGAGCCUCUAAAAAUUGAAAGGUAUGAGUAUGUCCUUUAAAACCUCAUCCAUCUGGACUCCAUAUUCAAUGUUAUGUCAUUUCCAACAAACUUGAGCAUAAUAUGAGAUAGUGGGUAAGAUACAAAUGUGUAUAUAUAUAUAUAUAUACGCAUAUGUUUGAAAUAAAUUUGGUUUCAUGAUGUGCACCUAUACAAGAAGCAUCGAUCAGGCUGAAUGCAUUUAAAUGUUUUUACUUUCACAGUUGAUGGUUAUAAAUAUCACAAGUUGCCCAGUGGAAAGCCAAUUGUGAGCAUCCAAGUCAAUGCUGUUGGAUGUGACUCUCUCCCCUGCACUUUUCACCCACAAAUAGUUACUACAAACUUUGGAUUCAAUUCAAAGAAAAUUCAGCAAACCAAAACAUCAUCUUUUGAUAAAUCUCUACUAAGCAAACAAUUCCAAAAUCUCCAUUGUGUGUGCAUGGAUGGGUGUCUGUGUAAUUUAAAUAAUAAUAAUUAUAAUAAUAACAACUCCAUCAAUUUCUGGGGAGAACCAUCAUAUCUCUGGUAGGAUUAUUACACAAAUUCAAACAUUAACUUAAUUAAGGCAAUCAUUUUAGGGUUCAUGCAGAGUGCCCCCACGUGGAAGCUCUGGUUCCCAAGGUACAGCUUUUAUAUUGGGAAUCAUCCAUCCACCCAUAAAUUCAUCCACCUAGCCAGGUACAUGGGCCCAACAACCCCAAGGGAGCAAGGGAUCCAGCCCAGCUGUGGGGCACACUUUACUACUUACAUCCCCUUUUUAUCCCACUUUCUUUCUUUCAUUCCCUUUUUCUUUUUCUGUCUUUUUUUAAUCCUCCCCCAAUUGGCCGCAUGUGGGGGCUAUUGCUUUCCCCCGUCAUCCUGUUCCGUGCGCAUGUCCUCACAAACAUGGUCCAUUGUACAAUCUCUUGUCUCUCUUGUGGCAUGUACUCCAAACUCACUUACACACUUUAUUGUGGGGUGGUUGUGGUGCCCCACAAUCUAUUAUCAUUCACCCUUGCCAUUUUUAUCUCUUUCCUUGCAUGUUGUUGUGUGUACCAUGGUGUAAACCCUAAUCUAGCCACAUGAUAUAAUUCCUAUGCUUGAAUAUGAUUAUUUUGGCUUCUAAAUGAAGAAGCUAUGAUUGAUUGAAAUUAUUGCAUGUGAGUAGUGGAUGAGUUCAUUUCUCUUUCAUUCUUAUUUGGAGGUGUAGCUUGAGUAAUUAGAGGAUCAUUGGAGCCUAGAUUCUUGUGUGGUAUUUAUUUUUAUUUUUUCUGAUAAUAAGAAAUAAAGAGAUAAUUAAAUGGUACAAAUUUAAUAAAAAUGCCUUUAUAACAUAGGGUUUUCAUACAAAGAUUUGAAAAAUAAUCUAUAUUUGAAUGAGAUAUUAUAUAGUUUGUUGUUAUGUUGAAAUGAGUGGAAAGUUAGAGUCAAAAUGUUUAAAUUAUUGUUUCAGAAGAAGAGAUAUAUGUUUUUUAAAAUGGGUGUAAAAUUUAGCUUGAUUCCAUAAGAAUUAUAAAUACUAUUUUCAGUAUUUUAACUUGUAGAUUGUUUUUUAAUAAAAACUUAUCUAGAUUAGUUUGAAAAUAAAGUUUAUUGAAAUUUUAGCUUCGUAUAUGAAUUAUCAUAUACUAAGAUUUUCAAUUUGUAUCGAUUUUUAAAUAUGAUUGUUUAAAUAUAAAAUUAAAGAAGAAUAUUUUAUAUAAUUUUAUAUAUAACAAAAAAAAAAUACAUAUAAAUAAAAUUUUGGAAUUAUGCCUCUAUUAGACCAUAACUUAUCAACAAGAAAACUGAAUAGAUCACGUGCUAAUAGUAGAUCCUAUUUACAACAACUACAUUCAUUAUUAUCAUAUUUAUUAUUUUCUUAUCAUGAUUUUUAUAUUUUAUCUAUUUUAUUAGAAGACAUAUUUUUAAAAAAAUAUUUUAAAAGACAUAGUAAACUAAUUAUAUGCCAUUUAAAAAUAAAAAAAUAUAUACAAAAUCUUUAAAACACUCAAAUUUAAGACAGAUUUUUAUAUGAAGUACUAUAAGCACUUCAAUAACAAUUUAAAGUAAAAUAUCAAAUAUGAUUUUUUUCAAAAAUAAAUAUAAAUAAAUAUAAAUUUAAAAGAAAUUAAUAUUUAAAAAACUACAUAUAUUUUUAAUUAUCUUCUAAAUAAAUUUGGUGAUUUUUUUUUUAUUUUUAAAGCACCUCCUCGAUGUGCAAAUCUAUAUAGUCUUCUUUUCUUUUAUUUAUUUCAUCUUAUAGGUUUAUAGUAUAUCACUUUUUAUAAGCAAAAAUAAUCUACCACUAAUUCUAAUUACAAUCAAUAUCAAAAUUAAAUAUAGAAUUGGUAUGUUUUUUAAAUCAUUGAUUGGAUCCAAGUGUUUAAAUUUUUUAAUACAUUAAAAAGCAUAUAAAAUCAACAAAAAAAGUUUAAUAUUUAUAUAAUAAUGAUUAUAUAUAUAUAUAUAUAUAUAUGAGUAAAAAGAUAUUUAUGAUAUUUUACUUUUUUAAUUUGAAUGCUAUCUUUUUAUAUUGUAAUAUCUCAGUAGAAGGUUUUAAUAAAAUCUCAAUAUUAAAAAUCUUGAGUUUUCUUUAUUGUAGUCUUAGACCAACUACAACAAUUGUUACAACCUUUACCAUUACAUAGACAUUGUUGAGAUGAUGCAAGACCUAUCAAGCAUAAUGUACAACCUUGUAAUGAACAACUUUGGUAUAGAAAUAGUUAAACUUAUGCUUAAGCCUUAACUUUACUACUAUAAGAUAGUAAUAUUGAAAUAAGUAGUUAAAAGGUAAUUUUAUACUUUUUUGAAGAGUUUUAUUUAUCCCAAUUUAUUGAAAUAAAUCUAUAAAUACCAAAUAGUCAUGGCUAUAUUUUUUGGUCAAAUAGACAUCUAAAUGCAUUAAUUAAAGAUCAAAAGUCAUUAUAAAAAUAAUUAAAGAAAACUUAGGUUCUUUGCAAAAUGUAUUUUUAAAAGAAAAAAUAACACAAAUUCUCAAUUAACAUCAACUACAAUUACCAUUUGAAACCUUUUGAAAUCUUAAAGAUUUUUUUAUUUUUUAUUUAUUUUUAUAUUUGUAUCACUUUUUGUAGAUCUUUUAAAACCUCUAGAACUUUCUAAGAUUUUCUAUAAGAUUCUAGAAUCUUUCAUGGUUGAACAAAUUUUUUGAAAUGUAUUCUACAUUCUUUUAAAAUACUAUUUAGCCGUGAAGUCUUUUCUUAGUUAUCUAAAUAUUUCUAUAAAAGAUACAUUAUAUUUUUAGGAUCUUGUUUUAAUUUUAAAAUAUUACUAAAUAGGUUUUAAAUUAUUUAUUUGCUGCAACAUGAAUAAGAUAAUAAGAUAAAUAGAGAUCUUAGUCUUACAAGCAAUAAUGUUAGAACAAAUCCAAAUAUUGCAUUGUUUCUACUCUUGUUUCUAAUUUGUUUUCAUUUACUUAUUUAAUUUUAAACUUCUUCAUCUCUUAAUCUCUUAUAAUUCUGUAUUUGUUUUAAAAAAUAUAUUGAUUAUUCUUUCAAUGAUGGGUAAAAUUUUAUUUUUUAAAAUAAUUAAUAUUGUUAAAUAUUUAAACAUCAAUGAAUAUAAUAAUAUUCAAUAAAAAUAUUAUAUUUUUAGAAUCUAUUUUUUUAUAACAAUGAUUAUAUAUAUAGUUAAAUAUUAAAAUCUAUUAAAGAAGUUAUUGCAUAUAUACAAAAGUAUCAGCUUAAAAGAAUCCUUCUAAGUGCUUUUAGAAAAUUCGAAAUUUCUUUUUAAAUUUUUUGGUUGAAAUAAUCUUCCAGUUAAAUUUGUGUGUUUUUUUUUUUUUAAUUCUUUUCAUCAAAAAUAAGGAAAUGAUAUGUUAAUAAACUAUCUGAAAUCAUCUAGAAACAGUAAUCAUUUUCUUACUUAUAUUCUUUAUAACCAUUAUUAUUAUAAAGAUAAUUUAUCAAUUUAUAUCUUAUAUCAAUUUUAUAUUUUAGAUUGUCCAAAACUUCAAUAUUUUUCUUUUUUAUUUCAUUUUUAUUAUUUAUUUAUAUUUAUUUUAAGUUUCUAAAAAUACUCAUAAAAUUUAUAAUAUUAUCAUAUAUAAGAUAUUUAAUUAUUCUUAAAUAAUAUUUAAUAAAUAUUCAUCAAAUUUUAUAUUAAAAAUUUAAGGAAAAAAUAUUAAAAAAAAAUAAUGUGUGUUGUAUAAAUUUUUUUAUAAUUUUGUGGUUUUUAUUAAUUUUACUCAUUUAAAUUUUAUUGAUUAUUUUUUACUAUUUUAUAAUAUUAAUUUCGAAUUUAUCAAAACCUGCUUUUUAGUUUGAAUUUUACGCUAUAAUAGUUAUAUAUAUGUAUACAUAAUGUAAUAACUAAAUUUACAUGUUUUUAAUAUUGAAUACAUCAUCACUAUUAUAUACUAAUUAAACGUGCUAAUAUUAGUUAUUACAAAAGAAAAAGUAACAUAAUGAUUUUUUUGAAUACAAUAUAAAAUAUUUUAUCAAUAUCUUGUUGAUCAAAAAGUAAUAACCUUAUGUGCUCACAGCACAAUAAUCUCACACCACUAAGAUGUAUUACUCAAACACAUUUUACACAACCAAAUUUUUAUUUGAAAAGCAAUUGGUUAUUCAAUAGUAAUACCUUCUUAAAUUAUCUCUCUAUUUUCAUUUUUUUAUUUUUUUAUUUUUCCUUCUUUUUUAGGCUUUCUCUUGUGUUGUGUCCAUGGUUGGUGUAGAACAAAUACCAAUGACUACGUCAUGCAAUGGCCAUAGCCAUAGCCACAAAGGUUUAAUGAUAUUAUAGUUGUGGUACUAUGCUCUCAUUCAUGGUACUACUACUAUUAUGUCUACCCACUCCUUUUUCAUAUCUUUUAAAUAAAUAAUAAAAUAAAAUUAGGGUUUUGGUGUAUUGGGGAAAUGGCUUGUUCAACAUGUAUUCAUUCCAUCCAUUCCCCAUUCUCACCUCCAUUUUCACCUCAAUUAAUCAAACUAAGAAGAGUGAUGGUGUGCCCUUUAGCGGUCAGUGUGAACAGGGGUUUACACGGUCUCCCUUUCUCUCCUUGUACAGACUUUGUCCUGCAUCUUCCAAUGAACGUAAUCAUCCACCAUUUCAUCCAUGAUGUCAUCCAAAGUUUGGUCAACUUUGAAUUCCAUAGAACAAAUGAAUAACAAGUGAUCUUGGGCAAAUAUAUAUACGCAUGAAAAUAAUUAAGUUAGUUUUUCAGAAUUCAAAUUAAUGUUUCUAUAUUUUUAUUUUUUAUUUUUUCAUAUACUACUAUCUAGAUACUUUUAAAAUUUUAAAAGUUUCCAAGUGCAAAAUUAUGUUCAUUUCAUAAAUCAUUUAAAAAAAUUCAUAAAAAAAAAAAAAAUGAUAUUUUGAAUGUUUUGUCAAUAUGGUAGUCUUUGAAUGAAUCAACUAUAAUAAUAUUUUUUAAAAUUUCAACAAUAAAUUUUAGAAUUGAAUUAUACACAUGUUUUUAACUUUUUAUUUAAAAAUAUAUGGGGAUAUUAAUUAAUAAUAAAAAAUAGAAAUAGAUAUAAGUUUAUUAUUUUUAUAGAUGAUUAAGUCUAAUAAUAAUAUUAGAGCUUUAAAAAUAAAUCUUUGGAUAAUGAUGUGUAUAGAAUAGUAAUAAUUAUAAUUAUUAUUUUGAUAAUAAAUUGGAUAAAAUAUUUUUACAUAUAUGUGUAUAUACACAUAUAAUUAUAUUUACAUUGAACUAAAUUAUAAAUUUUAUAAAUUAAACAAAAGAGAUGUAAUAAUAAAUUUAUGUUAAUUAACUAUAGUUAGAGGUUUUUAAAUAAUUAAGUUAUAUUAUACAAAUUUUUAAUAUAUAUAUAUAUAUAUAUAUAUAUAUAUAUAUAUUAAAGAUUUUAAUUUGAGUGUACUAACUUUAUACUUUAAAACAUGCUAUUCAAUGAUGUUUAAUAUGUUUUUGGAAUUGAAUGUCAAAAUUAUUUAUUAAUAAAUUAUUUAUAUUUUUAUUUGAAGAGUAUGUUUUGCAUGUAAUCAAAUGAUCAUAGUGUACAAAAUUUUCAAAGUAAUCUAUGUUUUGUUUUUUUUUUUUUUUUUUUUUUUUUAUAUAUAUAUAUAUAUUAUUCCUAAAGUAAAAAUUUGGUAAUUCACAUGCAAAAUUUAUUUAAAUUAUUUUCUAUUUAAGUUUCAUUUUUUUUUAUUUCAUUUUAUUUCUUUAUAAUUAAAACAAUGAUUUUUAGAAAACUGGUUUAGUAAAUUCCUAGAUCUAGACUUAGACUAAAGAGCACUCAACUAUGACACAAUUACCAUAUGCAUGUAUGCAUGCAUAUAUAAACACACAAAGCAAUAUAUGUUAUGAUUUUUUCAAAUAUAAAAAGACAAAUUUUAAAACAUUGUUUUUAACAAUUUUCAUUUCAUUAGUUAUUAUCAUGAUUGCAAAAGCCUUCAAGAGAUGGCAACUUGCAUCUAAGAAAUAAAAUCUUAGCUUUCAAGAUAACAAAGGUUGGUAACCAAUUCAAAAUUUUCCAGUAUAUAUAUAUAUAUAUAUAUUGAAAAUGAAUAUACACAACAACAUGAAAUUGACUUUGCAAAAUUUUCAUGGCUUCUGUACUACUGCAGCAAAGCCUGAGCAGCUCAAUAGCCAACACUGAAGCUUAAUCUCCAAUACUACAAUCAGAACUUGUAAGCUAUCUUUGUCGAAUGAUUUCAUAUUCACAAACAAAUCCUGAAGACAAGACCAUGAAAAGAAAGAAAGGGGAGGUGCAGUAGCAAGUCUUCAUUUGAUGAACAAUGCUGCAUGUACAGAAGAAGGUACAUGAUCAUGGAAAGUGAUUAUAUAUAUAUAUAUAUAUAUAUAUACACACACACAUUUGAUUUCAAAUUUUAUUUUGUUUUAUUUAUUAUUUUACAGUUGUGUUUUGUUAGGUUUGGUAUUUAUUGUAUAGAGUUGUGGGUGUGGGUAUGGGUGUGCCCAGUCACAGAGGUGGUACUCCCAGCGAUGGAUUACAAUAGAACCCAGUCCUAGAAAAGCAGGCAGGCAAUGGAGUGCAAUGGGGGGUAGAUUGUGCAGCUCCAACAUUACUAGUCUCCUUUGGAGACUUUAGCUUCCCAAGCACCAAUCUAUCUAUCUAUUCAUCUAUCUCACAGGAAUAGGAGUGUGGCUGCACUCUGUUUGCAGUACCCUUUGAGCUACUCUCAUAAACACACACAACAAACAAAAAUAAACAGAACACACUUGCUUGCUUACUUACUCUCACACUCACAUACAUGCAUGCAUGCAGGCAGGUAGGCAGGCAUGUUAAAAUAAAAAUAAAGGGAGGAAGAAGGAGAAGAUGAAAGAAUACGAAAGUGAGGUUGAAAUGGUCCAAUGCAUGCACACAGCGUGCCACAGAAGCCAAGCCAAGCCCACCAGGGACCAGGAAGGAGGACCCAGUUCAGCAAUAAAAAUAAAAAUAAAAAACAACAACAACAAUACACACUCACACACACUAAGUCAUAGCAGAAAGAAGAAGAAGCAUAAUAAUAAGAGGAAGGAGAAAGGGGGGAAUCAAGUGGAGUGUUCCUCGCCGCCUGGCUGUCCGAACCGAGCAUCCGACUCGCAGGAAAAUAUUCCAGGAAAAGAGACGGAACACGAUCAGGGACAGUCACUAAUCGCGGCACGAUCCCCUGAGCAGCAGCCUCCCCCCUUGCUUGCUUCCCUCCCUCCCUCCCUCAAGGAAAGGAAAAGAAGAAAGGAAAGGGUGGAAGGUAGGAUGGUAGUGUGCUAGCAGCAGGAGAAGGGGAUGGAUGAUGCGACGGAGGAGGACAUGAUAUGAGUGGGUAAUAAUAAUAUCAGGCAGGCAAGCAAGCAAGCGAGGGAAUGCGAGGGACUGCGAGCGAGGGAGAGAGCGAAAGCGAGAGGGGGAGUGCGAUGGGUGGCAUGCGUCGCAAUCAGACCCGGAUCUGGAGAAAGUGCCAGGCAGCGCAAAGCAGGUAGCUUCCUUCCUUCGCAUGCGGAUGUCGGAACCAGGCCAGCCAGUCAGCUUGGGAAUGCAGCUAAGCUAAGCCAGGCCAAACCUGGGUGCGGCACUACUAGUCGUAGUAGGUCAUAGUAGUAGUAGUAGUCGUAGUAGUAGUACAGAUCCUGAUCCUGAUGCGACGCUACACGCCAAGGACCACACCCCCACCCUCCCCGAUUGAUGGCUUGUCUCCAUGGCGGUGAUGGGUGCGGCCUCUUGUCUUGUAGUAAUAGUACUAGUAGUAGUAGUAAUAGUUGUUGUUGUAGUAGUAGAGCGUAGACGUGAUCGUAUCGCGCGGUGAAGAGAGGGGGGCAGAGGAGAUUAAACGUGGAGCAAGCGAGGGAGGGGGGGGGGGCCAGCCAGGUGAGUUGAGUUGGAUAAUGGUGCGUUACGUAGUGGGCGUGGGAGGAUGGGCAGGGCGGCACGCUGCACAUCCUUAACCCUCGAAACUGUCACAAUUCGCGCCCGAUCAGCGUCGUGCUCUUCUUGUCUUGCCACUGCCCCUGCUGCUGCUGCUCCUGCUGCGGCCUCGCUCGCGCACAGGCGGCGGACUUGGGUAUGGCUGCUACUGCUGCUGCAGGGAAGCUGAACUGACGCCCUUUUUUCUGGCCGUGCUUUGCCUUGGCUUCUCUCGGCUGUUUUCUCAGCUUGUCCUCUAGUCUCCUCUCUCUCGCUGGUCUCCGAAGACUUAGUACAACGCUAGCUUCGCAAGCUGUUGAGACCGGCGCUCUCUUGCGAUGGGUUUAAUAGUACAAGGAGUGUGUUUCUGUGAUCGUCGCUUUUCUCGAUCCUCAUAAUUGAGUUGUUGGUGCGAUCUUCGGUUUCAGCGACGAGUUCUUCAACGGUUUAGUGGAGCGGGUGCUUCUUCGCAGAGAGUGCAGACUGUGAGAGGCAGUUUGGGUGGCUAGUAGCGGCGCGCUGCUCAUCGUAGAACAUGAUUUCGUGGGAUCUUCUUGAGGAGUGAAGGACCUGGAUGGAGGCGCAGUCAGCCGGAUCAGGUGCUCCUCGUGGGGAUAAUAGAGCUGUGGCAAGGGCUCUUUAGAGUGGAAAGCAUGUGUUCUAAUGGAGAGUAGUGGUGAACUCCCGUUCUUCCCGGGUGUGGCUAGAAUGAGCACCACCUAAGUGUCUUGGGAGGUCCUUCUUCAAGGCUCGCUUUCGCAUUUUCUGAAUCUUUAACGAGGACGGGAGCGUCCAGAAGUAGUGCAUGAGCGGUAGUGACCAAAGAAACUGGUCUUUGGAUUAUCUCAGUUGUCGAGUGCAAAGUGAGCGCGGCUGAUCCGUCCCGGUCUACCAUGCGGUACUAAGUUCCGGGGCUAGGAGCUAGGGAUGCUCGCAGGAUUUCAGAUUAUGCCUAUCAGAUGGAGCUAUUCUCAUGACACUUCUGCUGCUGACAGAUUUUCGACAAGUUUAGUUCUUACUGUGCAAGCCAUGAAAACGAGGUAAUUCUUCUUAAACCAUAAGCUGUAUUCCAUUCUGUUGAAUUAGAGCAAACUUGUUCAUCUGUAAAGAGAGUUGAUGUUUCCAGCAUCUCCCGGAACGAGGAUGCAGUAGACUAUGAGGAACCCGACGUAGAUCUGUCUUGUAGUAUUAAUAAUCCAGGUAGGUUGCUCGGAGCUUUAAAUACAACGACUUCGGUCGGGUUACUGUUCCACUUAUACGUCCUCCUAUAACUUAACAGUCAUGUAUCCCGUGUGUCGGUAAUUGUGUGGUUCCAAAUCUUGACACUUACGAGUUAUUUCAACGGUAUUCAUUAACUCCUCAUCGAAUUUGACAUAAACUCUUGAAACAAAUCUGUCACAUAGGACGCCAAUUGUCUGGUUUGUUUUCUUUAGACAUGCAAUUUUCUCAAUUGGAUUACAAGCUACUCUUUCAUAGCCGCCAUUCUUCACGCUGCGGAGCAAUGAAAAUGAUCGUCUCAGUGCGCUGCGGUUUGAAGUAUUGUUUCAACACACAUGACUCGUUUUUACAAGUAACAUGACGUUAUCCCAUAACAUGUCUCAUAGUUCUUCCUGUAGUGGUCACUUCUGUCUCCAGAAUUUGACAGUCCUGUGAAUGUCCUUUAAAAUGUCUAGUUAACUGUUGCUGCUUUGUAGUUCCUUAACGUCAGUUGCGACAAUCUAACUCUCUCGGAGUGAGAUGAUUUUUGUGUAGCUCGUAGAGCAUCGUUCGAUAACAAUGACACUAGAGGACGAAGGGGGAGGAACCAGCGGCUGUGGUGGAAGCUGACAAUAUCAUGUAGUCUGUCGAGGAAUUAAGUGCUUACAAUGGGACUUUUCCAGUGGGCCGAUAAAGAGAAAGUGAAGACGUGAAGAAAGGGAGGAAUUGAGGUUAUCCUGGGGGGAUUGGGAUUAUCUCUUGGCUGUGGAAGAGUGGGACAGUGGCAGAUAGGGAGAACAGCAAUACAUUUCUCAAGCAGUAGAUUAGGAAGUGAUUUCUCCAUGAGGUAAAGCAUCAAUGCAGGGUUCAAUGACACACAAAGACAUCAGUGGAAUGUUUACAAAUGCUGCCCCAUCACCGUCUGGCCCGGUAUUGUACCCACUCUUAUCUUUAAACUUGAUUUUUCAGCUACUUUAAUUGAUCUCUCUCUAGUGGUAGGAGCUGAAAAUUUCUUCGAAAGAAUAAACGUACAGAAUAAAAAGAGUUAGAUAUCCAAGGUUCUUCAUCUAAUACUCACAUUUCGUGUGUUGGAAUUAGUGGAGUCUUGAUUAAUGAAUUGGGAGUUGUUGAUAAUGAAGUGCCAUGGCUGGGCCCGGGUUUGCAGUUGUCACCUAGAGCCGGCUCGGCAUUAAGUCCGGGUGGGCCUUACACGGUAGAUAUCAGGAUGCAACUAUCGGUGAGCGAUACCAAGUUCUCCGGAAGCAGCACCAAUGUCGACGUACUAGCAACUCUUGGCGGCAGCUCCGAGGCCACAGCUUUGAAUAAAUCCCAAAGCGUGGGAAGCUCUCUUCAGAACCAAAACCUCAGUCAGUUACUCCGUUCAGCACCAGGGUAUGGCGCCUCCUCUGCCGACCAGCAGCAUGGUGCAACAUCCAACUUUACCAAGUCGGUCGGAAUGGAGUCGGAGACGCUGGCCAUGCUGCAGCGACAGCAGCAUGCUGCAACAUCCAACUUUCCGAAGUUGGUCGAAAUGGAGUCGAAGACGCUGGAUAUGCUGCAGCGGCAGCAGCAACAACAGCAAGCAUCAAUUCAUCAGCAUCAAGAGUAUGAGCAUCAGGGGAACAACUCAGUUGAGGGGUUAAUCUACGACAUUUCUGCCGAGACGUCGUCUGGUUGUAGAAGAAGGCGGAUACGGGAUUGGAGCAGUGACUUUCAGGAGAGGUGCUCGCAAGUCAAUUUGGAGGAUUGGGCAUCUCCACGUAGUACUGAUGGAGAGGAGCACAUCAGUCUGCAUAUGCACGACCAAUGGAACACUACGAAAAAUCAUGAGCUCGCCACUGCACUUCAAGAUUGUGCUCCUACCACCAUCAGAAGCAAAAAGGCCAAGGUCCUGAAGCUACAGCACCACCCGCGGGAGGAUCCAAGAUGUAUAGUGAUGUCUUCACCGGUUAGUGCAUCUCAAGAUAAGUGUAGGACCAACAGCGGUACCACGUGGGAAAUUCACCUGCAACAGUGGAACGGCAUGCAAAGAUCAUCGAAACUAGGGGCCGUUGCAACCGGGAAGCAUGCAGAAGCCGGGAGCGCGAGUCCUGAGGGACACGGAUCAAUCUCAUUGGGUGCUCCACACGUACUUGUGGAUCUCGACGAUGAAAAGAAACUUACAGAAAUCCACUCAGAAGAAGCUAGAAUAAAAUCAUCUGUGUCCAUGACAAGGAGCUCGGAGGACAAUAUGAAGAGCUUACAAGAAACUCACAGGAAUAUUGACCUCCAUCAUCCAAAUCCUUGCAGAGUUGCUGGCGCUGGGAUAAGCUUUGAGAUGGGCUCCAAUACUUUCUUAUCGAAUGGAAUGACAAAAUCAUACGAGACUCGGGAGUUGCCAAAUCAGCUCUGCUCUGGCAAUGGUUACGUCGGUGGGUCCGCUUUCACUGGGAUGGAAGCAUGGCCGCAAGGAGGAGGAGGCGCAAACGACUAUUUAUUGCACACGAGCGCUGCACACAUAGCUCAUCUGCUCGACUUUCAAAUACAAGAGAACCAACGGCAUCUGAAACAGGGCAUUCUGAACUACCUUCCUGACGACUACAUGAGUGGAUCAAGGCUCGCAGACACGGUCGACUAUGAGACAGGGCUACGGACGGGUUCAUCUGGUGUUAACCUGCAGAAGAAUGGGUCAUCGCUCUGCUACAGUGACUUGAGCAUGUUACCAGGACAGGAAUUUGCCGCAGCUAAUGAUACCCUCCUGGAUUCUCGAUGUAGUUCUGAUGAGCAUCUUGAAGCUAGAGCUGCGUACGAGAUGGCUCGAACUGAGCAACAUCAAGCUGGUCUUCUCAGCAAGAGCGGCUUCAAGCGUUCAUCUAAAGGAGGUCCUCGUCGGCCAAACAUCAUCAAAGGGCAAUGGAGUCCCGAAGAAGAUAGGUAUGUUGAGUUCGUUAUGUGAGUAACUCCACCAGAAUCUUACUAAAAAUUGAAGGUGAUUAUGUGAAGGCUUUGUUAUGACUUCUAAACCUUAAAGCGGUUGGGUUACAAGUAAUUAGUUUGGUUCUAAAACUAGUUCACAGCACCUAUGAUGAAUGAAAUCGAUUUGUAACUGCACCUAGUAGGUACUUGGUGGGCCUGGUGGAAAUGCAUGGACAACAGCGCUGGUCGCUUAUUGCCACACAGUUGCCGGGCCGUAUUGGAAAGCAGUGUCGAGAGCGCUGGCACAAUCAUCUCCGACCUGACAUUAAGGUAAUCACUCAUCCCUGCGCAUCAAAAUUAUCCCUCAGCUUCCUAAUUUGAUUUAGCAUCUAGUGCUUCGCUGCUAAGAAGCUGACAUGCCUUUAAAAAUUGUAAUUCUUUGAAAUUGAAAAUCAGUGAGAACUCGACUGACUUCAGCGUUUCCAGUUGUAAAGGACGUUGAUUUGGUUGUUCGAUGGCUGUUGCAGCGAGACGGAUGGAACACGGAGGAAGAGGAAGCUCUAGUGUCAGCUCACAACAAACUCGGUAACCGUUGGGCAGACAUCGCCAAGAUGAUUCCUGGUCGCACAGAGAAUGCCAUCAAAAAUCACUGGAACGCCACCAUGCGACGGAAAGACAUGCGACGCAAGCACAGGAGGGUAACGGACGGAUCCUCUGACAGUUUAGAAGUUGUUCCGCGCUGCACAAUUCUGCGCGAUUACCAGCAAAAAGUGGUUGCUCAGCGAGGUGGGCGAAAGGGCAAGGUGCUCAAGUCUCUCGCCACUAUCGACAAUGAAAGCCGCUUCAACGAAGGCAACCGCAAUGACACACAAUCUCGUACUUCUGAAUUGGGUUCUCCGCAUCUGACAUGCGAUUCCCCUUCUGGCUGGAUGUCCAACGAGGUACAAUGCACCUCCUCUGCCUUCAUACAGUUUUCAUGCAGUUAUUUUUUGCAUGCCAACCAUAGACGUAUUUCCAAAUAUUUUCGAUCUGUUGCUAGCCUUAGCUGUGCAGGUUUAUCUGACUUCAUAUCUAAUACAAUACCUUGGUUUUUCUUUGUUGCAGACUGAAAAGCUCUCACUUCCUGCACGCUUUUUGGAAAUGAGCACCACAGAACCUGAUCACACCAUCGUGGACAUGAAAAUUCGCGCAAGCGAUUCGCAAAAAGAAUGUGACAGGUCACGAACAACAACGCAUCAUGCGAAGGGCCUAGCACAAGACAAUCCAUUUUCCCUAGCGAGGUCUGUGGGUUUCGAGGCAUCCUCCGCAAAUCCCACAAAAUCACUCGUUUCUAUUUGGGGUCAAGGAGCAGGGAGCUAUUCAAGACCCCCUGUGACUUUUUGGGGUGGUGAACAGUGGGAAGGAGCCGGCUCAGAGGUUUUCUAUACAGAACCGGCUGCCUCGGAUAGAGUAGAGAAUGAUGAUGCGGCUGUUUGGGUGACUCAAAUCAAUGUACCUGAUUUCGAUGUCACACCACGAUUCUCAGAUGCUGCCCCUGUCUAUCAAAGCUCAGAUAUACGAAACCUCAAGGUCACGGAUCAGACCAUGACUUUUCAGCUUGGAACCCUAGACCAAAUUGUGAACGGCAGCUCCAGGAGCACCAGUAGCCCCCCACCUCUGCUUCCUGACUCCCUCGACGUAGAAGCAGCAUCCUCUCAAUCCACACAAAUUUUGCAACAGGGAAAAAGCACGUUUACAAACAAGGAUUUGUCUACCCAAGCGUAUCUUCCUUUAAAUGCGACUUGUAGUACACUCCAAGGCAGUGACCAUUUCCAGACUUCUGUAGUGCUGGAGAAGCACGUUGACAACGCAUCGGGUGCAGCAGAAAGUGUCGUUAACUUCGAGCGCACAGGGAUUCAGAAUGCAGGUGACAAUGUGUUGACGCUGCCCGAAAGGAUUGGGAAUUACGCUCAUGAAAUCAUCAGAUCUACGUCGACGCACCCGGACAACAUCCUCACUGCCGCCUCCAAUAUUUGCAAGCCCAUGAUGGUCGUCGGGCUGAGCAACAACAGAACCAUUAACAUUCCAAACCAUCAACUACCAGUGAACUCCUUCGAAAACACCCAUGCAAGUCAUGUUCCGAGGCUGCCUAUCUUCUUUGGCAACCUGAGUCAUGACACAUUCAGUUUUCACCACCAGCAGGCGGUGAAUCGUGUCACAGGAUCUCCUGAUCAUGAUAUCAGCGAUAUCACUAGCAUGCUGCUCCCGCGGGUGCUCAUAUCGUCUAUGACGGACGACAUCACCUCCGUAACCUCCGGAUCCACCUCCUUCUCCAAUUCUGACUCCCUCAGCCGGAGGUACUGGAAUCAAUCACCUCAAUCCAGCCCCAAGCGAGGACCAAGCGAUCUCGACCUGGUGGAGCUUGUCGCUAAACCUCUAGACCAAGCUCCAUACUUGCGAAAGGUAAAGCACCAUGCCAGCUCGGAAUCACUGAGGGUGAGCUCCAAUGUGUGCACGGUGCCCAACGUCUCAGAGAACGGGAUAGACAUACGUGGUAUCAACUUCCAUAGCCAUGGCCACCACGAGGCGGAGUCUAAACUUAUUCACAUCUGCAGCAAAAUGCGCUCCCAGUGGCAGCUUGGCUGCAUUGCCUUAGCCCACAGGUAGAAAAUCACUUCUCCUUGUCACUCUGCCUGCUUCUCCAUGUUCUACCAUUUGCAUCGAUCAGGUGCAAGCUCCGUGAAAUGAUCAAUCAAUAUUCGUCCUGAAGUCGAAUUUCAUGCACAUGUAAAUUACAGUGUUACCAAGCGCAACUAAUAACAGUGUUGUAUUGGUAGUAAGAGGUUCUUAUUACCAUCCUCACCACUCAUUCAUUGAAGUGUACUUGGUUCAAACCCACUAUCAUUCGUCUAAGUAAAGUUUUUCAUGUCUGGGUAAGUAUACUAACAUGUCUAAUAAGUGACCAUGAUUUGAAGAACCUCCCUUUGCCGAAGGGACACUAGUUGUUACCUAGCGCUAUCAUACCAAGUGGAUCUCCAACUCGGUUGUUUUUAUAUUUGUUUUUCAUUGUUCCCAGUUUGUUUCGACUUGUGUAUGCAACGGAGUGAUAAUAUAAAGCACGAAACGGUGGCGGGUGUCUAUUCUUGCACAGUGAAUUUCGCAUGCUGGGUUGAGUAAAGUGGACCUAAUCGUGUAUAUUUGAGCUGAAUUAAGGUGGGUCAUGUUGGCAUUAGAAUGGGCGUAGUGGGUGCAGGAGAGGUGUAUGCAGUGGUGGCGGUGACGAGCCAGGACUUCUCACAGGCCACGAACGCAGUCAAUUUUGCUGUGGAAUGCCUCCAGAGUGAAGUAUCAGCCUUCCUGCAUCAAGAUGUCCUUCUCUAGCCCUGUCUCUUAUCUAGACGUUUCUGUUUAGUGGUCAGUUCCUAACACACGCAGAAGAUCUGCUUAAAAAGCAUUAAAACAAUUAGUGGCAAAAUGACAUUCUGAGAAGCUUUAAGUAAUCCACUAAUCCUCUGGUAUCCCUUAUCUCUGGGCCUUGUCAUCUCGUCUGCCUGCAAUGACUCAUUGAGACCACGCAAUGGGUUAUACCAAUUUUCGUCUUGCUAUUAUGAUGCGCAUUGUUAUCAAGAUCCGACGAAUCUGAACAAAAACUGGCCAAGUUGAAGCUCGAGAAGCAGCAGCGUUUCUCAUUAUAAUCGAGUCCCAUUAAAUGACUUGAUGUAGAAGAUAAUUGUGGAGAACUAUAAUAACUCGCCACUGUGUGUACGAAGAGCAUUAAUCAAGACACAGAGGUCAAGACAUCUAACGAAAUCUGCACUGUCAUGUCCCCGCACUGUACAACUUCUUACAACAGUUUACUUUUUGCCCAGCCUCCUCAACACCAAACGCCGAAUGGUAGGUUUCCUGACGAUGUUCCAGGGGCCUUUCUUGACUUGUGUCAAUAUUCAAUGCUUCGAGGUCGGCGUAGGAUUUGUCAAGAGAUCACACCCAUCUCGGAGAGAGCACAAAAAGCGAGAGCCUCUCCUCAUCAACAAGGUUCCUAACGAACUGCAUCGAUGAGUGCAGGAUCAAUGAUACCAGACCCGAUGUUUCCAUCCGAAAACGAUGAAACUGUUGCAAUAAUUCUAGAGUUUGUGUCCACGAUCAUCUGCCCCUGGAUACAGCAAAACUUCAUCUGUAACAUCUCACUUGGGACAACAUGCUGCUGCCAUCCAGAGCACACAGUUCCUCGUCACACUGGCAAGGUCUCACAUUCACCACUCACAUUCCUUUCAUAAUCCAAUGUUAGAAUAAAACAAAAUAUUUCAGGUUUUGCUUGUUUUGUUUUGCUCUUGUUCCCUUUGGUUUAUUUUGAGGUACUUUGUCUCAAUCCAAUUGAUAUUGAAAUUAACUAAAGAUAACCAAGGUUGCAUUAUUAGGUCAUUUCCCUACCACUUUUAGCUCAAAAUGUUAUAAAAAGAAAGAAAAAUGAAAAAAGAAAAAGAAAGAGUUAUGGAAGAUGGAAAGUUUGAAAUUGCAUGAGGGUAGGAUUUGUUCUUAACAUGAUGCAUUUUAUAUAUAUAUAUAUAUAUAUAUAUAUAUAUAGUGAGAGUACUAUGCCUACUUAUGUCACAAUGUAAAUUAUUAUUUACUUCUCAAAAAAUUGAGAUUUAUGCAGCAUCUAUAUUCUUGUUUAUAGAGGCAUUUGUUUUAUCAAGUAAAGUUGAGCGAAUAUAAUAUAUAAAAAAUAUUGCACAUAUAUAGAGAUGGACAAAUAAAUAGGUAUUAGGUAUGAAUUUUGUAUCAAAAAUUUAAACAUGUUCAUAUAAAUAACUAUUAAUGAAAAAAAUAUGAGACAAAAAUUCUCUAAAUUAAAUAUGAUCAGAAUUUAUCCUAAUUGAAAAAAUUAUAAAAAAAUUAGAAUAUAAUUUAUUAAUAAUUUGAUAUAAUUUUAAUUUUCAUACAAUAUAAAAUAUUAUUUUAAAAUUUAAAAUACUCAUAAAAAAUUACUAGAUAUGUAAUGAUAUAUGUAGAUACAAGUUAUUGCAGUACACAUGUGUGUGCAUAUAUUUUUCUAUUUCUUUCUUACUAAGUUAUAAUUUAUAUCAUUUAAACUUAUUUUACUAAAAUAAUAAAAAAUAAUAUUUAUUAAGUACUUUGUGUACAUUAUUUAUAAAGUAAUUAAUUACAUUUAAAAAUAUUAUACCAGUAUUUUUAUUUGACUAUUCAAUAAUGAGUUAUUUGAAAAAAUAUCAAAUAAUUUAUCAAAAUCUUGAAAUGAGACAGUAGUAAAAAAUAUAAAAUAUAAAAAUUAUCCAUCUUAUAUAAUCUCUUUAAAAAUUUAAAUGCAAUUUUAUUAUUUUUAAAAUGAAAUAAAAAAGAAUGUAGAUAUUAAAUUCUUUAAAAAUAAAAGAUUAUUUAUGUAAUCAUAUAUAUAAAGAUGUACAAUUUGAUGUUUUUAAUGAAAUAGAUUUUUUUUUAAUAAUAAUUUUUUUAAACCUUUAUUUAGAAAUUUAAAUAAAUAUAUUUAUUAUAAAAUCAAAAAAAAAAAAAAACAUAUACACAUACACAUACACACACAGAUUUUUAAACAUAAUUAUUAUUGAAUGCUUAAUUUUUAAUUUUAAGUUAAUUGCAGAACAUAUUAUACAUUUUUUUUAAUUCCAAUAUUUAAGAUUGCAUAAAAUUAACUAUAAAAAAUUAUAUGCUGUAUGAAAUUAAUUAUAGCUUUAUUUUAAUACAUUUUAAAAUAAAUAUAUUUAGUAAAAUUUUCUUAUUAAAAAAUUAAAAUUUUAAGAAAAUAUGCUGUAUUUUCUGUCAUGUUUUAUAUGGCAAAUAUGUCAAGAAUAAUUAUAAAAUAUAUAUGAAAAUCAAAAAAUAAAAGAAUAAAAAUGUAUUGUUGAGACAUUACACUUUAUUAUCAAUAAGAGCCAAAAAUCUUCCAUCUUCAUUUAAAGACCUUGUUCAAUAAGGGGAAUCCUACAAAAAGAAAGCCAUAGUUGAGGAAUACAACUAGUGCAAGAAUGGCCCAUCUCUUUUAAGUGAUCCUUCAAAAAAUUGAAUCUAAUCUAAAAAAUCUUAUUACACUCUAAUCAACUUCAAAUAAACCUUAAAAAUUAUUUAAAAAAUCUAAUUCAAUCCUAAGGAAAUUAUAAAAAAUGCUAAAGAGAUCUUGAAGAAAUAUUUAAAAAAUAUUUAAAAAAUAAAAAUAAAUUUUAAUUAAACUUCAAUUAAAUUAUAAUCAAAUUUUAAUCAAAUCCUAAAUAGAUCCUAAAAACUCCUAUAGCAAAUUUUAAAUCUCAAAAAUUUUAAAUUUUAUUGUUAAUCUUGAAUCAAAAAUUCUUAUGCCUUUUAGUUAAAUAAUCUAAAAUAUUUAAACAAAAUUUAAAAGAUAUUAAACAUAUAGAUCAAGAGAAAAUACUUCUAAUUUGCUUGAGUGUUGGCCAUCUUCCUUCUUCGUCCUCAAUGGUAACCUUCUAGUAUCCAUAGCUCUUAUUUGAACUAUUCAAUUACUCUUAAAAUUUUUUACUUUAUUAAAAAUUAAGUCAACUAUUAGUAUGUAUAAUUUUUUUUUAAUUCAAACAACGAAUUGCUCAAAACUAUAGAAACCUUCAUAACCUUUAUAAUCUAAUUUCUAAGAUUCUAAUAUAAUUAAUUAUUAAUUAUAUUUAAUUUGAUCAAUUAAUUAAAUUUAAUUUCAUAAAAUGCAUUUAUCACAACUAUUUUUUAUAAAUUCAUAAAAUUUUACUUGUAGAUUUACUUAAAUAAUUACAUAAUUUUCUAAAAUUUAAUAUUUCCAUUAUUCUACAAAAUAAAAUAAAAUAAAAACUCAAAUCAAUCCUAACUUUGUAAAGCUCUUAAUGUCAUUAUAAACUCAAAUAGCUCAAAACCAACACUCAAAAAAAUAAUAUUAUGUUUUUUUUCAAAUCCUACUCUUUGAUUUAGAGAAGAACCCCACAUUUGAUAUAGGUGUAUAAUUAUGUGCCUCAAGGUUUGAUCUUAACCUUAGUUUAGAACUUGUCUUCUCUCAAUAUCAAUCUGAGUUUUUUAAAAGAAAUGUUUAUAAAAAGGCACUCUUUACUUUUAUCUAAAAAUACCUAUACUGUUAUUUUUGCAAAAAUAAUUUAUUGUGUAAAAUUUAUGGCCCUACAAAAUAAGUAGAUUUUUUUUUUUUUUUUUUUUUUUUUUUUUUUAAAUCAAAGGCAACAUUAACAUUAAAUUGUUUUUACUACCUUCCUUAUUUAUGAGUGUUUCUAGAAUAAUUUUUUAAUAUAUUUUAAAACAAUCUCUUUAAUAUUAUAAUCCUUCUAUUUCUCUUUUUUCCAAUAGCCAUGUUAUUAACAUAUAUAAAGACAUCUACAGCCAAAAGAAGAUAGUGCUUCCAAAAAAAUGUUGUGAAAAAAUGAGAUCUUGAUAAAUUUAAUCUUUGGAUAAGAUGUAAGAUUUUUUAAUCUUAUUAAAAAUAAAGGAUGAUGUCCAUCCCUCUUAAAUUUUAGAAGUUUCUAAAGGUUUUAAAAUUAGCUUAUUUUGGAACAAAACGAGAUUUUAUUUUUAGAGUUUUUAGAACAAGAAUAAUUGCUCUAUAUUCAAUUCAUAAGAAGCUUUUGUACCCCAAAAAUUGUUUUGCAUGCAUAAUGUCUAUUAAAAAGAUACUUAUUAGAGUAGUUUAAAAUGCAUCUUUUUUGUAUUUUAAAUAAAGAAAUUGCUUUCUAGUAUCACAAAUUUUGACUAAGCAAAAGCAAGACUACAACCAAGAUAUAUUAGAAGAAGAAACUAAUCGCCAUUUUAUACCCAAGCUUGUUUAAAAUUCAAAGUUGUAAUGUUUGAAUUAUUAUCAAUAAAUUAUUGGUUGAGUGAUUUGAGAUUGGUGUUAGUAUAAAAACAUUCGAAGAUGAGGUAGAUGUAACUUAUAGAUUUCAACCCAUCAACACAGGUUCAAUUUGACAAGUUUUACUGCAAUCUGUGAGUUAAAGAGAAUUGCAAUAAGAUAAUUUACUCAAAAACUAUGUGUUGAAUUAACAUUUCGAUUAUUGGAUGAUCUCUAAUAAAUCUGACACAAGGAUGGAGAGGGGUAUGAUUUUCUAUGGAGAUAAUUCUAAACUUCGUACUUCUACCGCAAAUUAUCUAACAUGGAGUCUAUUUUAGAAGGGCUGAUGUGGCUUGCCUCAACCAGCUGAUACAGGAAGUUGCGGUGAAAGUGUUACAAAGAUUUGUUAACGCAGAAGGUCAAAUCCUCAAAACAAAUUCACAUUAACAUCAACUCCAAAGCCCACAGAAAAGUUCCACAAUUCCAUUCGAAUAGUAAAAAGGUCAUGUUUUAGAGUCAUUGCAUAAUAAAAAUAAAAAUAGAACAAAAAUUAGUCGUGGUGGGCUGUAUCCAGUAGUUAUAUUUUCUUAUAUUACCAUUUGCAAGACAGUCGGUUACUGCCUACACCUCAUAAUGAAACAUGCGUUGAUGUGCAGAGCUAGUUUCAGAGGAAGUAACAGAUCACGAUGUAGAUCCACUGGACGUCAGGAUAGACAUUGCGGUGAUAACACAGUUCUGAAGUAUAGGAUUUAAAAACGUACUAGCCAUACAUGUCUCAACAGUAGGAAUAAUAGAAGUUUCUAUGUUGCAUUCAGAAAAGGUGAGAAAAUAGAGACGACUGAAACAAUAAGAUGAUAUCAUUUGGUGAUGAUAGGUGACAAUAUACAUGUUAAUUACAUAAACUCUAGUAUCCCAAUGGCUUGUUGACAGGAUGAACUUAAAAAAUAAAAAUAAAUAAAAACUGUGUGUACAUAGCUGCCCCAAUAGCUUACAGCCUCACUAAGGUACUACGACAUUCGAUGGGCAAGCACUUCUGGCGAUGUGAAACUUGGGUUCCUGUGGCACAGUUAGCUUCCUGGUAGAUCUGCAGUGGAAAGCCAGAACGACUGUUAUUAAUUUACGAGCAAUACUUUGAAGACAUAUGAUUCAGCAAAAUACGAAGUGGUGCAAGAGCUGUGCACUUACCGAUGUGGCUUGAAUGGGCGAUCGAAUAGAGGGGCCUUUUGUGCUGGAGGGAUCACAGCUUUAGCAACCGUACCUUCAACCUCCUUGUCACCCUGCGUAGACGAAUAUAAAUACAGCAUGCUUAAAAUGACAUUAUCGACAUAAUCGAAUAUGGAUCGAUAAACCGAGAUAAAGCUCCCAUGUAGCUCUUCAUGGAGAGACUAGGAAGGAACAGAGAAAUUUUCACCGUAAUCUUAGCACAUACCCGUUUAGCAGAAAACCCAUGAGAACUGCCAGGUUUCAACAAUCUCCCUGGGAUCUGUAGUCAGGUUCACCAAGUCCAUUCACAAGAAUGUAGAACGUUAAAACACAGAAAACCAGGAUUCGAGACGAACACACGGUGAUGUACAUGCAAAUCGUAGAGAAUUUGAACAUUGCUCAUUACAGCACACAACGCACACAACCAUCCUCCCGAGCAGCGAACGCAGUGAGUGCAGACUCCCAAAAUAAUCUUAGUCAUGGCCCUUGGGAUUAUCGUCACUACAUCCACAAAAAUUUACCUUCGGCUCUGCUACCGCAAGACCUUGAAAGGCGGAGUGAAAUCCUUCCUUGGCUGCUCUGUGUUUCUCCACUUUCUUCGAGAAUUCCUGCUCCUUAGCCGCCCCCCUCUCCUGCACACGGUAAAUAGUCGAAAAGUUUAAAAGAUCAGCAGCAUUGUGAUGAGUGCGAAGUGUCCUUACUGACUCCACAUGAUCAGCACAGUGCAUGAGAUCUAUCGACAAAGGCAGGCUGAAAUAAGGUUCACCUGCGUGCGCAGCCGAAAUGGUUGCGGAUUGGUUACUCGUGGAUUGGUGACUCUCCAGGCAAGUGAAAGUCGUUUCAUUCUAGGCCUAGGAAGGUGAGGUGAUUUAGAAACAGCGGAAGUCUUGGCAUGGCAAAUCUGCAGUGAUGGCUGCUGUCAGUCGAGGAUGGAGGGUAGAUAAGUUAAAACGAUCGAGCUAAACCUCUGAUGAAAUAAUGAACACAUGAAUAUGCUCAAGUAACUGGAGGUGUAUUCAAUAGGUGAGAAAUGACCUUUUUGGACAUUGAUUUACAGGUAUCGCUCUUGGCAAAAUUGGCUCUCUUGCUGGCUGCUUCCAGCAACAACUCUCUACUGUUCCUGCAAGAGCCAAUGCGAGAAAAGAAUCCAACCCAUCACCAUUCCGUUGGGGACAUUGGCAAUGGUCAAGGGAAUUUGAAAAAAACGAAAAUUAGGGAAGCUUACCCCUUCCUUCCGUGCUUGCUCUGUGCCAGUUCCAAGUCACUUAAAUUUCUCGUCUCCAAGUAAUCCAUAUUUUCGCAGGCCACCUCGCAGUCCAUUCCUGCUGCAUUCGGUUGUUCAUCUAGUCCAUUUAUAGAACUAUUCGCCAAGCCCAUUCCGGAGAUCCCGGCAGCCUUGUCACUGGUCGACGAGCCUCCCACCCUUUCUACAGCAACACCAGAAGAAAGAGACUGCUUAGGUUCGACAAUCCUGGAUUCCCCCGCCAAUGAGACAAUCUUGAAAUCCUCGUCUUCAGGCUGGGUCACCUCAGGGAUUGCACAUGCAUUGAGGGACUCAUGAAUUAUCUGUUCCUCCAGCAAAGUUGUUUGAGCACGGUCCAAAGUCAUCCUCAGGAAGCUAUCGUCCAAGGAAGCUUGGAAAUGGUCAUUGACAUUGGAAUAAUGUUUGUUUUCUCCAACAACGGAAGUGUCUGUGACAGCUUGGUGCGCGUCAUGGAGAUCAGCAUGAUUACAACCCUCAUCACCCUUCUGAGCUUUAUCACACUGCAGCCUGGAUUUCCCUAGUGUUAUUUCUUCAUUACAUGUCCCCACUCCGGCAAGAGAAGGCGCGGCGUUUAUAGCCGAUCCCGGAAUGCCAUUACUGGCAUUGAGAUACUUCCUAGCAGGCGCUGCAGACAAGGAACUAGGGUCAAUGGCAGCGCAUAUCGAGGAUUUGGAGUGGUGGCCAGUGUUGGGUAACCCAGUUUUUUCGGUGCAGGCCAUGACCUGGUGCCCUGAGAUAGGUUCCGUCACGAUGAUUUUAUACGCAGACGCUGUGGAGCCAUCAUCCUCGCCUGUCGGUGAACAAGCUACGAUGACAGCGUUUAAUUUCAGGACAUUCACAGCUACUCCAGAGGCAAUAUUUGUUCCAAAUGGUUUAAGUGCAUUUGGUUUCAUUAAGACUUUCUUAUCAGCCGAGGAGUCAUCGUAAUUGUUCUUUGUCAUGCAGGGAUCUCCCGAGAACUUCGGAAUGUGAUGUACAUCACUAGCGCCAGCAGUUCGCCUCGGCUCGAGGAACUUCUGGCUGCACUGACGGGCAAGCGCUGGCCUCUCUUCAGGACCUUGACGGGUAGAUUUCUCAACAAUUGAAGUAGAAGCAUCAGCGAUUUGAAUGGGGUUCGCAGAAGGAUUAGGAUCUUCAUUCUCAGAUGCUCGCGAUGUCUUGACAAGACGUAUGGAUCUCAGUGAUGCAUUGCCAUCCUUACCCUGAAACUGGGGAGUGCUGUCAUACGCAUUAUUCUUUACAUUCAAGCUCUUGCUUGUUAAUGGGCUCAUUGAGUCUGACACGGUCCCAAUGAGUCCUUUCUUGGCACUGCAGUGAUGAGGUACCAAGUCAAACCAAUGUCUCACCACAACCCUAUUCUAGAUCCAGGCGUUCACAAAGUACAAGACAGGAGACAGAACUCAAAUCAGGGAACAGGGUACAAAUUAGAGACUAGUCACGUAGACAGGAAUACGCAAACAAUUGAUCCAGCAUAUCAAAACCCAAAUUUGAUGAGAAAUCAGGAGAGCGAAUGGUAGAGAAAGGCAAAUUUAUUGCACCGAGAUUUUUACAAGGCUUCACAUUAACCCACAUUGUAUUAUCAUCUAUGUGAAGUGCAAACUGAAGUUCUGAACAUCUGGAGGACAACUUUAGUGACAUUCCUGGCGAUGUCAUAUAAACAUACUUUUCGAUAGUAUACAAUGCCUAGCAUACGACCUAAUCUAUCGUUCAGUGAGACAGGUAUACCCGCGAGCACAAGGAGGGGAAGUAUACAAGUUAAUAACCCUCUCUGAGCCCGCGAGACCAGCAAGAUGAGAAAGGAAAUUGACUAGCCAGGACUUUAAGAUUAGACACGAUGAAGGGCAGCAAGAAGGUAGAACUUUCAUAGGACCUGCCAACAGCUUUUUCCGCAGGAAGUGGAGACUUGAUUGGUGCUUGCUGUUGUAUUACGGGAGCUGCUUUCGAGGUACCCUGCGCUGCAACCUAGAAUUACCAGCUACAACGAAAGAUCAGAUUCUUGCAUAGUCAGAUCCCUCUGGGCAGCUUUCAGAUCGUCCAGAAGCACACACCUACACACCGGAAGAUGACCUUCAAUGGGUCACGGUUAGCUGUGGGAAUGGAUAAGGGCGAUGUACUUACCGUGUGUUCCUUCCGUGUCAGCAGGUUCACCUCUUCAACGAGCACUGCUUUCUUGAGCUGUAUGCCUGGGAAACCACAUCGACUAGCAGAUGUCGGCUCAAUUACACACAAGAUAUGAAUCAUAUGGUUUGAGACAAGGCAAACGUCGACUGCGACGACAUGUUGUAGCAUGACUGAGGGAGUUGGGAUUAUGUCUAUGAUUCCAGGAUUUACAGCACUACGAACAGGAGGAAUGAUGGUUGGGAGCCGCUCGGUCUGGAAUUAUCUGUCCUUAAAAGAACUCGACGGUUGAACAUAAAGUUGAACUUUGAGGAGAACACAGAAGUUACGCUCUACACCCAACCUUUCCUAAUGCAUCCCCAAGUGAAGAAACAGCCUGUGUAAGCUCAUAAGUAACGAGGAGGUGAAGCCACGGGCAUACCAGGAUUGGCCAAGAAGUACGCAUCCGGGUCAAUAGGCUCCUCAGGUGCAGUAAAAUCGUGAAACUUCGGUGCUAGAAAGCUCUCGUAGAAGUCGUCGGUCUGAAAAUUUCCAUCGCAGUUACCCCCAAACGCAGAGUCUAUCGACCCCAUUCUCCCCACCACCUUCCGUGGACCCAGCUCCACCAACUACCUUAUCAAAUUCCGGUGAUAACUCGCACCGUCUCCCCCUCUCGAAACCCAAAACAAACAGACAUUCCACACUCACAACACGCACGUUCUCGACGUCGUUGCAUAAAGCCUCACCAUUCCCACAAACAUUCCGCAACGACCACGACACAUGAGCUCCAAACGCAAAAGUACACUAUCACCUCCAAGAAGGGCGCGAUUCUGUGACCUAGACCUGGAGAUGCAAGCAAACGCGGCAAAUGUGGGUGGAAGAAACAGAAUCGGAAUUCUGGAAGUGAACUAGGGCGUGCGCCAAUGAGGAUAUACGAGCCCCGAAUUCUUCAAAAAUUGAAGCUCAAACGGCUACUUUCGGCGGCGUCACGACAGUUGUCGUAGAGGGCGAGUAAUGUCAGCGGCGGUUGUUGUAAUGCCCAGUCCUGAAUCGCGGGUUGGUGGGGGAGGGGGACCCGCUGAGGAUCCAACGUGGAAUAUCGUGCCACGGUGGCAACUUCGAAAUGUUUCAGACUGUUAUUCCGAAUGGGAUCUCCCAUUUUGUGAAAUGAAUAAGCAAAUUAAGCAUUCAAUUUUUUGUUAAAAUCACAUUAGAUGAUUUAUUUUUAUUUAUUUAUAUAUAUAAAUAUAUAUAUAUAUACACUUACACACACACACACAGGGGAAUGAUAAAGUGAUCCAAAUUUUUACUAAAGUGACCCACCUUUACUAUCAUUCCAUCCUUGCAGUGCCCCUCCCUAUUUCCAGCAUGGAGGACGAAGGUCGGAGGGCAGUUCCUAUGUUCCUUGAAUCAUGUUGCACCAAAAAGUCUAUUACUUAUCCAGUCAAUAGUAGCCCCCCCCCCCCCCCUAUUGGCUCAACUUGUAUUGUGCACUAUCCAUUGAUAAGCCUACAUUGGUAUUUCUCACAAAGGGGGGCGCUCUCAUUUCUUGUAGAAAAGAAGAAGGUUUUGCUCCUAAGUAGCCCUUAUUUAGUAUGAGCUCUGCCAAAUGUCAAGCGACCUACUCUAUUAAACUAGGAAAUCAAUGACAUUAAUUUCCAAUGAAGGCUCUUACAUUUUUUUUUUUUUUUCUACUGUGGCAACUUCAUUUUAAUUUUUAUAUUAGAGACUUCAAUGGCUAUGUUGUCAUUUGAAUUUUUUGUAGAUUACUUUGAUCUUCCAUACUCUUGUUGUUAUAAAGUCAAGAAUUAGAGAAGCGAUUUUCACCUAAUUCCUUCAAAGAAAAGUUGUACAUUUUAUUUCCAAUUAUGUAAGUAAAAUGCUAGGCACUUACAUUUGGAUUUGUGCUCAUAUUAAAGAGGUAUGAUUUGUUGAAUUGAACAUAUUAAAGUUGCUAGAUUGGUGCUCCAUCGGAUAGAACCUAUUAGGAUAUAAACAUUAACUUCCUAACUAAUUAGAACAAAUAGAGUGAUAGGUACUUAAUCCUAGAUAUCAAUCCAAAUAUAAAUAAGAUAUCUAUCAAAUAUAGGUAACUCUUAUUGUAUAAAAAUAAUUCUUUGUAAAUGGAACUAGAGUUCACUUAUUUUAUCACUUGUAUUGGUGUCCUAGCAUUUGAGGUUAAUCUUUGUGUUUGGUAAUUUUUUACUCUUGUUGUGAAUUAUAGAACAUUGUCGGUCAUUGGUACUAUAUGCUCAUUUUUUUUGUUUCAUAAUCUUAAUUCAUCAAGCAAGAAUCAAUAUGAUAUCAGAGCAAAUAAUGUGAGAGAGAGAAUUCAAACUACAAGAGUGAACUAUGGAAGUAAUGGACUUGAUUAUUGCAACUUCUAAGAUGCUUGCAGGGCCCAAUAACUAUAAGAUAUGGAGUAGCACAAUUUGGAGCAUGAUAGAAAAUGAAGACCUAUUGGACGUGAUGGUUCCAAGUAAAAUCAUACAAAAGGAGGCUUCACCAUCAAUUAACAACACCUUAUUAAGCUCAGUCUUGAUGGAGAGAAAAGAAAUGGGAAGUAUUGAUCAAGUAGAUGACUGUGUCUGAGAAACUAAUUUAACAAAGCAAAAACAUAAAAUCCUCUAUAGACAAAGCAUAGAAGCCAUGAGAUUCUUCCAGCUAUCAUUAUCAAAAAUAGUAAAAUCCUAUAUCCUUGAUACUUCUAACCCUAUUAUAGCUUGGAAAAUCUUAGAAAAUAUAUAUUCAACAAAAAGAAUAGUAGAUAUGAUGAGAAUACUAGGCAAGUGGGAAAAUAUCAAGAUAAUAAAGAAUAUGAUAGUAUCCGUCUUCGUCCAAUAUAUAUACAACUUAUUGAAUUACUUAAAAGAAAUUAAUGAAUUGCCAAAGGAGAUUGUAAUUGUACAUAAGAUUUUUAAGAAUCUACUUAAAAAAUAUGAAAUAUUUGUAAGGAUACUUUAAUAAAAAAAGUAACGCCAAUUCUAUCAAAUCUGAAAAAUAUACUUCAUAUGAAAGAACUUGAGAUAGAAUUAAGAUUAAGGCAUAAUGAAAAAACAUUUAUGAUGAAUACAAAGAAUAUUCCAUGAAGAACUUUCAUUGGAUUCAAAAAUCUAAACUAAUUAAGGAAUAAUUUUCAAAGAAUACCUUCUCAAACUUGGACCAUUGUUGGAGAAUAACAUACAACAAUCAUAUAUUACUAAUGUGGCAAAUCAAGGCAUAUAGCAAGGUAUUAUUGAGCUUCUGAACCAAUCAAUGAGUAUCAACAACCACACAAAGCAAAUCAAAUAUCUGUUGAUAAAUUUCCUUCACAUAGUCAAAUUCAUAUACACAUUAAACAACAAAUGAGAAAUAAAUUACAACUAAGAUCUAUUAUUGGUAUAUUUAUUAGCUAUGAUAAAUAUACUAAAGGAUAUAAAAUAUAUUUUCAUCAUUUCAAGAAGAUCAUAAUCUCAAGAAAUGUGAUAUUUGAAGAAAAUAAAUUUAUAGACUAUAAAAAAACUCAAGAUGAAAAUCUUACAAACAAAAGUAUAGAAAUAGAGAUAUCAAUAGAAGAAGUUCAAUAUCAUAAUGAAUUAUCAAAAUUACAAGUAUAAGAUUUUUCAACCAAUAAAAAUUCUAUCUUAGAAGAUUUUUAUAAUAUAUCCAAUUUACAAGAAAAUAUAGAAAUUGAUGAUCAAAUAGAAUCUGAAAAUGAAAUAGAAAAUCUUUCUAAAAAUACACCUCUAUCUAAAUUUCAAUAACAUAAUAUAAGCCAAAAUAUAUCUAAUUUUAGCUAUACUCUAAGUAUUAAAAUUGAUGAAUGGCCUAAUAUUAAAACCAACAAUGAUAUAUCCUUUAUCAAAACUAUAGAUCCUUAAAAAUUGAAGAAAACAUGACUUGGCUUUCACCAAUUAUUACACAAGUAGGUAGAUAAACUAGACCUUUUGGAUGGAUGAAAGAUCAUUUUGCAAGAUUGAUGAUACUAUCAAAUAUAAAAUUAAUAACAUAUUAUAAAGUAGCACAACAUGAGGGAUGGAUAUAAGCUAUACAAGAUGAAAUGAAAUCUAUAUACAAAAAUGAGACUUGGUCUCUUACAAAUCUUUCAUUAGACAAAUUUAGUAUUUCCACGAAGUAGAUUUUUAAGGCUAAAUUCAAUAGAGAUGGAUCUUUAUAAAAAAAUAAAACAAGGCUUGUGGCAUAAGGAUUUGAACAAAAGGAAGGAAUUGAUUAUGAGGAAAUAUAUGCAUUAGUAGUUAAAUAAACAAUCAUUUGGGUGAUAAUAUUGAUUGUAGCUCAAAAGAAUUGGAAAUUAUACCACAUAGACAUAAAAACAACAUUUCUUUAUGGAUAAAAAAAAGAAGAGAUUUAUGUCUCACAACCAUAAGGUUUUGAAAUAUUUGGCAAAGAAAAUAUAGUAUGUAUGCUACAAAAGACAUUAUAUAAUUUAAAUCAUGUACUAGAGUAUGGUAUGAAUAAAUAAACUUUUACUUAAUAAAAAUGGACUUUCAACAAGGUAUAAAUGAUCAUAAUCAAUACUCAAAAUCAUCAAAAAAUAAGAUUAUUCUUAUUGCACCAUAUGUGGAUGAUCUUUUAAUGAAAAGAAAUUAUAUCCAUAAUAUGAACAACUUCAAACAAAAAUUCUAUGAAUAGUUUAAAAUAUAUGAACCAUCUAGAGCAGAAGUCAUGCUCUAUCUAAAAGUAGAAUGCAUAAUGUGAAAUAAGGAAUUUUAAUAACUCAAAAGGUCUAUCCACAAAAUAUUCUAAAAGAAUUUAGUACAAAAAAAAAAUUUAUCAACAAUAACACUCAUGUAUGAAAAAAUCAAAUUUAAAGACGAUAUAGAUGAAGAAGAAAUUGACUCUAUAUAAUAUAGAAGUAUAGUAGGAAAAUACCUACACUUAACUCACAUAUAUCUAGAUAUACAAUAUGCAAUAGGAAUAGUAAGUCGUUUCAUAGAAAGACCUCAAAAAUCACACAUAUUAGUAGCAAAAAGAAUUUUAAGAUAUAUUAAGAAUACUCAAUAUUAUAGAAUAUUAUAUCAAAAAAAUAAUCAAAUUCAUCUUGUUAGAUUUACAAACUCUGAUUGGAUAUGAGACUUGAAACAAGCUCGAUUAAUGAUAAGUUUUGUAUUUAAUAUAGGAAAAACGUCCAUAUCUUAGCCAUCAAAGAAGCAACCAAUAAUGGCUUUGUCCUCAUCUGAAGCAAAAUAUUGGGCAUUGGUAGAUGAUUUUAGAGAAGCAAUAUGACUAACUAUGCUUCUUAAAGAUUUGCAAAUAGAAAUCAAAGAAUCCACCAUUAUCUAUUGUGAAAAUGCAAGUAGUAUCAAUAUUGUGAUGAAUCCAAGAGUUAAUCCUAAGACUAGAGAUAUAGCAAUGUAUUAUCAUUUUAUUAGGAAAAAAAAAUCAAAUCUAGAGAAAUUAGUCUUCAAUAUAUAUCAAUCUUGGAAUAAGUAGCAGUUAUAUUUACAAAACUAUUGAGACAUAUCUUAUUUGAAAAAUUCAAGGAAAGACUAAACAUGAUCAAUGUAUUUAGUUUUAUCAAGUUAUUUAAAAAAGAAUUAAAAAAAAUCCUUAAAUUGAGUAUUUUUAAAUUUUUUAACUUGGAUCUCUGAUAUUGCUUAAGAAUUAUUUAUUUCAAGAUGAAAUAAAAUUUUUAAUCAUUGAAAUCUUCUAAUAAAUUAUAUCUUGUACCAACCCUAUUUUUGAAAUUUUGAAUCUCUUCAAAUCUACACCAACUAUCUCUUCUCAAGAAAGAAAUUCUUGUAGUUUAUUAUAAUUGAAAAUAUAGUUUAGAACCUCUAAAGAAAAGGAGGGUGUUGAAUUGAAUAUAUUAAAGUUACUAGAUUGAUGUCCCAUUAGAUAGAACCUAUCAAGAUAUAAACAUCAACUUUGUAACUACUUAAAACAAAUAAACUGAUAGGUACUUAGUCUUAGAUAUUAAUUCAAACAUAAAUAGGAUAUCCGUUGAUCAAGGAUAAUUCUUAUUGUAUAAAAAUAAUUCUUUGUAAAUGGAACUAUGAUUCACUUAUUUUAUCACAUGUAGUGGUGUUCUAGCAUUUGGAAUUAAUCUUUGGAUUCAAUGAUUUUUUGUUCUUGCUAUGAAUUAUAAAAUACUAUGAAUCAUUGGUACUAUAUGGUGAUUAUUUUUUGUUUUAUAAUCUUGUUUGAUAAAGCAAGAAUCACCAUGAUGUAGAUCAUUCUAGUCGAGAUAGAACAUAGUAUAGUUACUAUAACAAGUUCAAUUAGCAGGUGCACAACCUUUUCUCUAUUACUUUGAUUGAUUCAUGCUUACAAGAUGUAUGAUAUAAUAGUUUGAAGUGAUUACAAAAUAAUCUUUCAAGUCCAUAGUAUUUUUUUUGCACUAACCAAAAAGAAUUUUGUUUCAACGGAGGGCAUAGCUCCCUUAGCUAUAUUAUAUUUAGUUAUAUAUUGAUUUAUUAUCAACAUAUGUUAAUAUGUGAUUUUUCAAAAUAAAAGCAAGUUCACAAAGAAAACUUAAGCUGGUGCUUCUUCUAUGGUCUAAGGCCUUCAAUGAUCUACAUAGUAAUCUGAUAGUAAUAAAUGUAAAUUUUUAUUUUAGAUAUAGAUUAACAAAUAUGCUUUUUCACACUAUUGUAAUAUAAUAUGACUAAUAGGUGAAAGGGAUGAAAAAUCUAUUAUAUUAUAGAAGAUCUUAUUUCAAAUAUUAUAAAAAAUUAUCUUAGAAAAUAGACAAUAGUCCAAAAGAAAGUAGAAUUAAAGAUUUAAAUGCUACCUUUUUAUAAAGUAGGCUUCUAUUUACUUUUUAACGCUAUAAAUAAGAUAAAAUAAGAUAGAUUAAAAAAAUAGAAAAUAUGAACAUAUAUAAGAAAAAAUCAAGAGUUGAUUGGAAUAAAAAUUAAUUCAUAGGACAAAAUUUGAUACCCAAAGAGGGUUAGUUAUCAACUUGGGUCGAAACUAGAUCCUGAGGCACAAAACUAAGUAUCUAUGGCAAUUUAGAGGAUUUUAUUUAUAGAUAUGAAAGUCGAAUUUGAGAGCAGAGUUGAUAGGAUUCCUUUGAGCAUUGAUUUUGAGAGAAUUGAGUAUAUAAUGGCUUUACAAGAGCUUUAAAAAGUUACAAUUAUUUGGAUGAUUUUGGAAUUUGUGAAAUAAAAAAGAUAUUAUAUUUUGGAGAAUUUUGUAAGUUUGGUAGUAGAUCUAUAAUUCAAAUUUUGAUGAAUUAUGAGAAUAAUUAUCUUAAGUAUAUGUUAUAAGUUUGAGCUUGAUUAAAUAUUUGAAUUGAAGGCUAUUAAAUUUCAAAUAGGUUGAGGUCUCAAAAAUUGGACUUUGAGAGGUUUUUAGGAUUUCUAAAAUCUUUAGCAAUGUACUAGUUGGAUUGAGAUAAAAUUUAUGUUUGAAGAUAGGUGACUUGAAUUUUUACAUGUAUUUGUGAUUUGAAAACAAUUGAAUGGUUUGAUAAGCAAAUAUUGGCUCUAGAAGUUCAAUAUUUAGAUUGGAAUAGGAGAUUGAUCAACACUUGAGUAAAAUUUAAGGUUUUUUUUUUUUUUUUUUUUUUUUUUUUUUUCCAUUUGAUAAGUGUAAUUAUCUUCAAAAUUUUUAUACUUAUUGCCGACUUAGUUAUUGAAAGGUGUGUAAAAUUUUAAGUAAGAUCAAUUAUUCAAUUGAUAGAUAUUGAGAUUUCAAAUUGUACCAAGAUUUGAACUUAGGUUUGGUUUAGGUUUUAGGAUUUUUUAAGGAUUUGAUUUAAGGUUUGAUUUAAGGUUUAGGAUUUGUCUAAGAUUUGAUUUAGAGUUUGAUUUAGGAUCUAAGAUUUGAUCUAGGAUUUGGUUUAAGAUUUAAGAUUUGUGUAGGAUUUGAUUUAAGAUUUGUUUAGGAUUUGAUUUAGGGUUUAGUUUAGGAUCUAAGAUUUGAUCUAGGAUUUGAUUUACGAUUUAGGAUUUGUCUAAGAUUUGAUUUAGAAUUUAAUUUAGGAUUUAAAUAUUUUUUAGGAUUUGAUUUAGGAUUUGGUUUAGGGUUUAGGAUUUGUCUAGAGUUUGAUUUAGGAUUCGAUUUAGGAUUUAAGAUUUGAUCUAAAGUUUGAUUUAGGAUUUAGGAUUUUUUUAGGAUUUGUUUGAAGUCCAUUAGGAUUUCAACUAGGAUUAAAUUA
rnacentral:lncRNA from 1 species